rnacentral:lncRNA from 1 species
UUUUUUGAGAGAUAGGUAGCACGCUACCCGCUUCGUUUAUUUCAUUUAGAAAUAAACUUAGCUAGAAAUGUAAAUAAACUAGGAUUCGAACUUGGGUCUCGGGUACCAACCACCAAACCCUUUAUCAUUUGCUCUAGGGACGGUCGGUAGCAAAUACACUUAAUUAUUUGCACUUAGGUGUGUCCUAAGUUCCUAACCUGAAUAAACACCAACAUGGAAAGAUCUUUCUAUGUUCUCUUUCCUUUUCUUUCACAAGACACCUCUCUCUCUCUCUCUCUCUCUCUCUCUCUCUCUCUCUCUCUCUCUGCGCGCGCGUGCGUACAUGCACAUGCAAGCAUGCAUGUAUGGAAAGUCCUCUUAGGGAUCUAUAUGUGUCUAUCACAAACAGAUCACUACAUGUAACUUUUGAAUUGAUUUCAAUAGACAAUAUUUUGAUAAUUUAUCAAGUAGAUGAGUUUUUAUGUCCGUGGUUUCGUCUAAUUGGAUUAACCAAUCCUAUGUGCUGAGUGAGUUACAGGAAGAGAGAGUCUCUAGACCAUGUCAUUAAUACUCCAAAUUAAUUAGUAAGAAAACCAUAGUGGGUCAUGAUUAAGCACCAUUUAGUGACUAAUUGUGUCAUAGUCCUACUCUAAUGCUCGUCACAUUUGCCUUUUCCCUCAUCUAUUUUCACACAUAGUAUGCCCUAGGAAUCCCCAGGAAGAGAUUUUUGUUGUUAAAAAUUGCAAAAGAGACCAAAAAUGAGUUGAUUUUAGAUGAUAGGUGCCACCUAAUAUUUGUCCUUUGGAAUGUCAUUUUAUCGCCGAGGCUUUUCGCUUGGUUUGUCUCACUAAUUAUUGUUUCUUCUCUCUAGAUUCUGAUGUGAUCUGAAUUUACGGAUCUUUAAUUAAUUGUAAGUGCUUUCUUAGUAAAUACAAAAGGAUGAGUCAUUUAAAGCUAUAAGAAGUUUGUAAAUUCGUUUAGAAUCAUAAUUGGAUUGCUUUACAGAAAUCGAAUAUAUAUAUUCAUCAAAAACAAGCGCACAGCUUUAACUUAAGCUCAAACUCAAAGUCCUUUAAUCUUUAAUCUUAAGUCAAAUUCAAACUGUUACAAAUGAGUUGAUUAAGACAUCUUGGAAGUACUGAUUAAUGGUACUUAGUUUUUUUUAUAUAGAGAGAGACUUUAAUUUGAUGAAAAAUACAUUGCAAAACCUCUAUAUAAUUAAUUAACAUCCUUGAAUUAUGCUACUAUACUAUCAAUAGUAUCAAGUCCUUGGUACUAUUGAGUUUUCGGCCGUUGGAUGAAAGGAUGUGCGGUUAGGAUGAUAGUGGUCCCCGAUUAAAUUGAUAGUGGUCCCCUAGGGUUGAGUGGGUGGUUGGUUUAAUAGUAUAAUCUAACGGUUGGAAAUGAUCAAAGGGUAGAUCUAAUUGUAGAAAACUCAAUAAUACCAAGGGCUUGGUACUAUCGAUAGUAUAGUAGCCGGACUCUCUCUCUCUAUAUAUAUAUAUAUAUAUAUCUCUCUCUCUCNAUAAAAAAAAAAAAAAAUCUUGGUGGCAUCAAUUAAUCCUAGUCCUAGAUUCUAUUGGUUGAAACCUUUCCCUUACCUGUUCUUUGAAAAAGUGUUGAAAGGUCCCAACUACAUAUUAAAUCCAGGGUAUGAUCUCAUCACCACAAUACUUUAGCUAAUUAUGGUAUUAGAAAAAUUGAGUUACUUUUAUGAUGUCAUGCUGAGGAGGAAAAUAAUAAUCCCAUAGGCUGUAAUUUGUAAAGUAGAAAAGUGUCCCAAAUUAUAAUCUAACUUGUCAUCCAAUGAUAGUUAACGUUUUCUAUCUGAAGCAAUGAAAUUGGAAGAUUCAAAUCAGAGUUUCUGAUUUUGAGCCUUAAAAUUACUUUUUUUUCCUUUCUUUCUACAUGAGUAAAAGUUUGCUUUUUAUCUACGGAAUGCUCCAUUACCGAUAAUUGUCGAUAAGAUGUAAGAUUUGCCUGCGAUUUUUUAAUUAGGAAUCAGGACAAGAAAGAUAGUUUAGAUCAUUUUCAGAUUAGACAGAUUCACGUCAUGUUAAUUUUGCAGGCCUUUUAGUACAUUUGAAUUAUGUUAUCAUGUUGUGUCUAAAAUUGUUGUACCUCUGUACAAACCUAACCAGUUAGUUAUUCCUCCAGAAAAAAUAAAUAAAUAAAUAACACAAUAUAAACAAAUAUUGCUACUCAGAACCUAGCUAAUUAGCAGAUUGGGAGAUAAUAAGGUCACUUGUAAGAGCCUUUAGUCGAAACCAUGUGUUACAUUUUGAUUGAUCCAUUCAUGGAUGACUAAGUAAAUUAACCAGGUCUAAGUCAACAACUUUUACUCCUUUUCACUCCCUUAAGACCACAAUUUUCAACUAAGCAUCCACUACUCAUGUGGUAAUUAGAUCCUUAAAGAGAGUUACUAAGAUAAUUAAAAUUAUAAGCCACUCCAAUGGACUGUCCCUUUGGCCAUGUAGAGAUACCAUAUUUAAGGAAUUAAGCCUAUUGUUUCCUAUAUUGUUAUUUUAUAGCCAUCCUACUUGGACAUAGCAUCAUAAAGUUCCAAUCCUACGUAACCUCCAUUCACAAAGCUACAUGCUAAUCCUAAAGAUAAAAAGUAUAGUACUAACUGUGUAUAUACAUAUAACCCAAAUCUUUUAACAAUUCCUACAUCUUAUUCCUCUCCACCCAUAUAUAAAAGGGUUUAGUACUCCCCUUAGUAGAUCUCUCUCUCUCUCUCUCUCUCUCUCUCUCUCUCUCUCUCUCAUUCAUCUUUGUUCCUUCACCACCCUAUAAUUAGUUUCUACACAAAUCUUACUAGGAAAAAAUUUUAAAAAACAACCAAUUAUAUCCUAUCAAGAGUGAUCACAUAUAGAAAAGAAAGGAUCAAAUGAGUAAGAUUCAUCCGACGGAGAGCAAAAAGGUCGACGGUGCAGCGUCGGGAGCACUAGACCGUCACCCCUCGACGUGGACGGUGUGGAAGAGGUCGAGCAUGGCCUUUCAGGGGACCGACGGAUUCUCGGUGUACGACUGCGAGGGGCGGCUCGCGUUUCGCGUCGACAACUAUUCGAGGCGGCAUAAGUGCUUCUCGGGGGAGCUAGUCCUCAUGGAUGGCAAGGGAAAAGCACUUCUGACUCUAAAACCUCAGGUAGGAAUAAGAAAAAAAAAAAAGUAUGAAAAAAAAGAAUACGUAGCAUUUGAUGCCAUUGACGUAUUAAAUAUUAACUAAUUGAUUAAGGCAAAGACUACUAAUUCAAGUUAUAGUGUUAUGCUAGAAUUUAAUGUCAAAGCUGCUGAAAACUGAUAAUGUGUGGGACCAGAAAAAAAAAAAAGGAAAAGAAAAAAUUGAUUUAUUUUAAUUCAUGAUAUUCAAAAUUGAAACAUUGAAAGAUUGAAAGAUAGAUUUUUUGGGGUGAAAAAACAGGAAUUUAGUUUCGUCCUGUUUUGCAAUGGACAAAAUUUAUGGAUUCACAGCUGAGAAUCCAAGAAAAACACCUGAUUCUUUUUUUAAUUCAUGAUAUUCAAAAUUAUCUGCAUGGUGAAGUUGACGUAGUUUUAACAUUUCUCUCCAUGUCUAAGCACGGAACUUUAAUAUUUAACGUAUAGAUUUAACCCAUAAAAAGGUGCAGGGACAUGUAAACUACUCUCGUAUCAUAUAAAAUUAUCGAUUUCUCCAAAAUCACGGAAAACUGUCUUUUAUUAUUUCAUAAAAAACAAUUUUUCACCACAAAAAAAAAAAAGAAACUCCAUAACACUUAAAAAAUUUUGCAUUAUGCCUCGCAGAUACUGAGCCUGUACGACCAAUGGGAUGGAUACAAGGGAGAAGAAGAAGAAGAAGAGGAUUGUAACAAAAGAUCCAAACUCCCUCUCUUCUCAAUGAGGAGGUGCUCGAUCCUUCAAAGCAGCGAUGAGGCAGAGGUGUUUGUGAAAAGCCCUCAUUCAAAUUCUCCGACAACACCCGCGACUUUUCGAAUCGCGGGCUAUUUCAGAGGAAGAUGCUGCAAGAUAUAUGGAAGCAAAGGCGAGGAGGUCGCGCGAAUAUCUCCGAAGAUGGCUAGCAAGUCGGUAAUGCUCGGAGAUGAUGUGUUCAGCUUAGUAGUUCAACCAGGGAUCGACUGCGAGAUGGUAAUGGCUUUCGUGGUGAUCAUGGAUAGGAUUUGUAAGAAGUCCUACAGCCCUCUAAUGUGUUCUUGAGAGUAUUGAGCAGAAGAACUAUUGUAUCAAAAACAGAAGCAGAAAUUUUCUGUAAAUCUCAAUUCAGGGAAGAAGAGAAAGGUUUCCUGCAAAUUUUGGAUAAAACAUCGGUUUUAGAAAGAAGAGUUAAGGUUACGCCGACUCCCGAACCAAGUAAAAGAUGAACAAGAGAAAAGAAACAGCCAUCAAAAUAUACGAUAAAUUACAGUUAAAAUAUGAUCAAUCGUAGAUUUGUAGAAUGAGUAGCCAAAGAGGAGUUUAAGGUAGAGCAGGAGUUGGUGAACCAAGAAGAAUGAGAUCGAAAAAAUGUAGUUGAUAUGCAAACUUUAACAACACUAGUAGAUGAUACUUACUAUACAAUCUUGCUUUGAAAUGAGUGAAAAAAAAAAAGGGAAAAAUGCAUCACUCUGGGGAGAUGGAAAUACUAGUGCAUGAUACUGCUUGCUUGGAAAUGAAUGCGUCUUCUUAAGAGAAGUUAAUAGAGCCAGGACUAUGAGAAGAAAUAGGACCAUGGAAACAUCUACAAAAAAAGAUUUAAUAAUCAUCAUCAGAGACUGCUAAUAUAAGUACUCCCAGAAAUUUAUAAGCAACUUUCAUUUAUCUGAACACAGCCAAACGCAAUUCACCACACAAUAUAUGGUUUUCAAGGAAAUGGUUAUUGUACUCUCGCAUUGUCAUUUGAAAACAAUAGAUUCCAGUUUAAAUCCACUAAAUAAGCAUGAAGUUAAGCGAUUGCCCCGAAGAGUCGCCUUCAGCUUCUGAAAAAGAUAAGUGUUAGGAUCAAAGUCCUCCUAUCUCCUCCUUGAAGAGGCUUCCCAAAGAGUUGCCUUCACCUUACGAACAAGAUGACAUAUUCAAGCGAUGCAGCGCGGAACUAAAAGCAUCCCUAAUAAUAUCAAAUGACGAAAACCAAAGUUAUCGCUAGAUUUACUACAACUGUUACUGUGAGAGAAAAUAUUUAAUGUUCAAAUAAAAGAGGAGCAAGGAAAAUAUACCGCAUUGCAGAUGGCGGCUGAAAAUCUGACUAAGAGAAAAGAGCGCGGUAUUCACUGGCUUCGUGAGCCAUUUCACCCUUUGUUCGAUCUUUCCUUUCUUUGUCGAGAUCAAGCUUCUCCUUUAAUUCCUUCUCUUUCUCGUCUAUCUAUAACAAGAUUAACAAAUGCAUAAGAAAGGGCUUCUUGUAGCAGCACCAGGGGUGCUCAACCACUUAGUGUAGUUUCAAAUUUUCAAUUUAGUCCCCAACCUUUCAAGUAUUCCAUCAAGUCCAUAAUGUCUACAUUUUGUUGCAAUCUUAUCAUUAUACUAAAUUGCUCCAUCCAACUGGAAACAGUUAUCCAUGAAAAUGACAUUCACUGCCAUGUAAGCAACUUUCUCACUUCAUAUAUGGUGAUUAUAUAGGCCUUUUUACCCAAUUUAACUGAUGAAUUUAAUACAAAGAGUUAAAAUUGCAAUGGAAUACAAAAAUUUUGGGCCCUGCUAUAACCAUUGGAAUUUUGGGGACCAAACUGAAACCUUUUGGAAAGGUUGACGACUCCGGUUCCAAUUUAGCCAUGUACUAGAUAAAUACUGCAAUAUCAGAAUAAAGCGAGGAAGCAAUCACAACUCACUGCAUCAUAAAUUUCAUCGUUCUUCUCAAAAUCUCCCAUCCUACGGGGGAGAAUGUGAAUGUGCACAUGAGGAACCGUCUGUCCUGCUUGGGGUCCAUCCUGGGAUUUUGAGUACCAACAUCAAUAUCCGAAAAACUUGAGUUAUACAAGAGAAAAGUAAAUAGAAACAUAAAAUACAUAAAAGUAAAUAUUCUUUUUUCUGAAGUUUUAGUUGGUAUAUUUGUCUUUUUUGUCAAAGAAAAAGACCUUGAUAAAGAAGCAAUUUAACAUAACAAUGAGGUACAAAGAAACAACUAUACAAACUAAAAAACCAGUACAAAGCCAACAUAAAGAAAUCAGAGCAAUUUGACAUCACACGCUACCAAAAGAUGCCCAGAAUAACUUCUAUACUGACUUGAAUUGUAAAGGUAAGUGAAGAAGCUUUGUGAUAAUCCUCAAGCCGGCGACCAACUUCUUUUGCAGUAAGCCAUAAAUCGUUAGUCUCGUCAGUAGUAAGAUCAAUAAAGCGCUUCACUUCACGUCGUGAGCACACAAGAACAUGUAGCUGGUGUUAAGGCAUAACCAUGUGCAUCAUAAAAGUUGCGAAUCAUAUUAAAACAAUGAGGACAAGGGUAUACGCAUAGGAUCUUAGAUUUGUAAGGAUGCAUGCGUAACUACAUGACUCUAUAGGGAAUAGAGUAAAAAUCUCUAGAAAUAAUAAAGGCAUAAUGAAUAAUCUACACGUCUUACAAACACGUAGAGAGAAUAUCACAUUGAAAGUUAGAUAACUGUGCAUAUCUAGUCAUGCAACUACACCCCGAAAAUGUGCGUACACAAAUGUCCUCAGUUACAAUGGCUUUAAGAGUGAACUGGUCCCUCUACGGAAAAAGGAUAUGACCUGCAAAUAAUUGAAGUCAGAGAAAGAUUAGCUGCGAUUCAGUGCCAAGGAGCAGGGGAAAAAAAAUGCGGCAUGAAAGUAAUAACUGAAAACAAUUAGCAGUUCUCUGUAUCCCUUGAUAUCAUGUUACCCGCUUUGGUUAUAAAGUAGAAGAAAAAACCUCCUAUGGUUUACGAAUGUAUCACUUGAGUACCAUGUGGUCUCGAUUUUCAUUUUUCAUUACACCCUCCGCCAACUUUUCUGUUAAACUAGUCACGUGCCGCACACCUGCGUCGGAUAUGUCCCAAAAGAAUCGAUAAAAAAGGUACGGGACCCCUUAGGAUUUACUUCUGAUCAUUCUUGGUGAGUCACCAAUGGCGAGAAAACGAUGAUACACAUCGCACGUACGUGGAUCAUGACUAUUUUAACAGAAAAGUUAAAGAACAGUGUAAUGGAAAAUGAAAAUAUAAACUACAAGGUAUGAUACAGUUAAAAUCACAUAUUACUAAAGUGAUAAAAAUAGUAAACCACAAGAGUAUAUAUGAAGUUUCCCCAAGAAAAAUGAACUAAGCUUCAGAAACUGAGGCAACAAGGCCUCUUAAAAAACAGGAAAGGGAGAGAACAAACACCAAUAUAACAAAAUAGCCACAUGAAACUAAAAACACCGAAACCGAUCCUUCUCUACGACUCUACGUCUUAAGAUAUGGUACUAUAAGAGGCUAUUUAGUAGUUUGGGAUAUAAAAAAGUUGCUUCCAAAGUAAAUAAAAAAAAAAAUCACAUAUUUGGCUUAUUUAUCAUGGCUUUUGGAACAGCUUCUUUGAAGCACCUCUUUUUAAAUUUUUUUUUUUUUUUUAACUCUUGUAUGUGCUAUUAGAGAAUUUUAAUCGAAAAAAUAAAAUCAACCUCGCCCCUUCGAAACACAUUUUGAAAGUCUCCGCGUUGAAUUUAUCAGAGUAGGAAUUAGUCUUUCACGAAUCUCCCAUCUUGGGUAAAUACAGAGUAGAACUUGCAACGUAGCCAAUAAUCAAUUAACUUAAGCAGAUUAAAUCCAUCAAAGUGAAAAAUUUGUGGACCAAAAAGUCAUUUCUCGAGAUUACAGGACUAUACGCACAUUUUACCCUCCCCCUUCGUAACACGGAGAGAGAGAGAGAGAGAGAGAGAGAGUGUACCAGGAAGAACAGGUCUGAGGUUGACCAUGGCGUAGGAGAGGGGAGUGGAGUAGAACACCUCCAUGGGAUCGAUCUUGUAGGGGCCGAAGAUGUAGGGCUCCGCCGCCUCCAUUGGUGGCGACCUCGCGCAGGAGAGGUUGCGGCGGAGGAGGAGGAGGAGGAGAUCGUGGUGUUGAUGAUGAAGAGGAGGAGGAGGAGGAGGAGGAGGAGGAAGCGCUUUGCGAAAAGCGGGACGAAGAAGCGAUUCCCUCGGUGCUGCGAGAAGAAGCCCUCGCGAUCGGAGCACGCUUACCAUCUCGCCUCCCACGUGCGAGCGCGCGAAUCGUAAAGCUCCUUUUCCGCUGGGUUUACGCUGAGCUCGCGCGUCGAGCUCGUGCGAACCUAGGAAGAUUACGGAGAGUCUGUUCGUGAACAGGGUUCACCACGUCAUCCGUGGACCGAACAGUCCUUCACCUCUUCUUUUAUUUUAUUUUUUAAAUUUCCCGAGAUUUCUACAACCAUUAAAUUUCAGAUUUUUUAGAAAAAACUAAAAUUUUAAAAAUUGAUAAUUCACUGACUCAGUGUUAAGAACUUUCGGAUAGAAUACAUUCAUAUUUAUAGUUUGGCUAAAUUACAAAAAAAAUUUCUGUAAUAACCCGCUUUUUUACUUUUUUCUCCUGAUAUUUAAAAAUCUAUACUUUGCCUAUUUUUAAAAUGAAAAAUAUGCACUUCACUUCCUACCGUUAGGGUUUUGUUAUAAAUUUUUUUUAUACCGAAAAAUACCCCUUCGUCCUCUUUCUUGUUGCCUCGCCUCCCUCCGGCUCGCCGCCGCCUCACCGCCUCGCUGUCCUCCACUACCUCGCCUUGGCCCACAUCCCCUUCGCCCUCUUCCGCCGCCUCGCCUUCGCGCUCGUUGCCCUUGCCUACCUAUCUUUCAACACCCACAUCGAUUUUCUCUCUACUAUCGUCGAAAUCAAGGGGCGGCGAGGGUGCAGGAGAAGAAGGGGAGUAGGUAGAGAAGGAAAUUGAGAGAAAUCGCGGCCGAUUGAGGUUGGAAUCGUGGCCGAUCGAAAGGGCGGCCGAGAAAGAUGAGGAAGAAGACAAAAAAGGCGACGGACAAAAUGAUCAUUUUACACACCGUAACCCCUUGUGAACAUUUUUUAUUUUACAAGGGGGCAAAGUGCAGGUUUUUAAAUGUCAGGAAAGAAAAGUGAAAAAGCGGGUUAUUACAGAAAUUUUUUUUUGUAAUUUAGCCUAUAUUUUUAUAUUUUUGAUAACACCGAAAAGUAUAUUAUGAUAAAGCAAAUAUUAAUUGCGGGAGGUACUACCACUUCAAAAAUAAAUCAAAUAGAUAUUAGCUGUAUUAAUCGAUUCUUUUUAUGCGAUUCUAAAUAUAUAUUUAGAACCAUAUAUACACAAGCUCGCUAAUCUCCGGUUAUUGUUUUAGAUUGCUCUUUUCCUAAAUAUUCAUAGAUUUCUUAUCAAGCCCUGAAAAUGUUUUUUUUUUUUUUUCUGAGAAAAAAAGUAAUGAGCUACGUACUUUAUUCAUUAAGAAAAAUGAACUAGACUUACAGAAUGGUUGCAACUAAGGCAUCGGGAGGGAAGUCAAAAAUAUAACAAAUAAAUUAAAAAAAGGGUAAGAGAAGAAAAGAAAAUCAUAACUAUGAUCUACCUAGGGGGAUAGAAGGAUGGAUCCACACUCAACAAAAGUCGCUCCAGUUGGAUACAAGAACUUUGAUGCGGUCAAGCGAGCGCAGAGGGUUAGGGGAGAUGGAUUGAAAGAUAGUUUUGUUUCGCUCAUUCCAGACGAUCUACCAAAUUGCUGUCAAUUAGGAUAGUCUCUUCCUUCUUGUUUCGCUGUUUCCUUGGUUGGAAAUUGUAUCCCAGAGGACUCGGGCUGUUUGCUGUGGGUAGAGAUGUCAACGGGUCGGAUUCGGGGCGGGUUUGUAAAAACCCGAACCCGAACCCGACUCCAAACCCGAGACCCGAACCCGAACCCGAACCCGACGGAUUUUAAAAAUCCAUAUCCAAAUCCGAACCCGACCAAAAAUCCGAAACCCGAACCCGAACCCGAACUCGAAAAUUUGAACCCGAAACAAUUAUUUCUUUUUUCAAUAUUUCAAAAUAGAUUAUAUUAAAUCUAAAUUUUUAAAAUACAAAUUUAAAUAUAACAUCAAAUUUUUAUAUAUAUAUUAUAUAUAAUACAAAAUAAAUUCGGGUUCGGGUCGGGUUCGGGUUCGGGUCGGAUACAAUCAAAAUCCAUAUCCGAAUCCAUAUCCGUCGGGUUUCUAUUUUUGAUAUCCAUAUCCGAAUCCAUAUCCAUAUCCAUCGGAUAUAUCCGUUUCAUUCGGGUUCGGGUUCGGAUAAAAUUUCGGGUAUCCAUACCCAUUGACAUCCCUAGCUGUGGGUCGGCUAGCAGGACCGGAUCUUCAGUGUUGAAGAGUAGGUAUUUUACGUACACACAGUUUCGGAAGAAGUGGUCACGCGUUUCGGGCGUUGCUUGGCCUUUGAUCAAGCAAACGAGAAAAAGCAACCAUUGACAAGUACUGUUUGAAGAAACGGAUCAUUGCAAACUCGAGGAGCUUAACAGCUACGUUUUAGUCAGCGGAUAUCUAGAAGAACUUUUCCCAUUUUGUCCUUUUCCCAAGGUAGUAACUAAAAUUUUGUCAACCAAAAAACCAAAAGUUAGGAAUUUAUAAAUAAAAGAUUUUGACUCCAUUUUUUCUAAAAAAAAAAUUAUGCACGUUCCUAGAUAGUAAUACUUUGUUGACGAAUCAAUGUACAUAAUAAUGAUUCAUGAAGGGAUUUACUAUAAAUGAUUAUCAUUAAUGUUCUUAUUUCUUACAGUUUAAUCUUAAAAAUUCUCAUUUUACAUAUUCAUUAAUCCAAUUUUAGAAGGGUAAUUGCGUUGAAGGUAUCUUAAGGAACGCCCUAUAUUUUUCAAUAUUCCGUCUUGUAGUAUACAAAUGAAAUUGGACAUGACGCAUCGUACUACCAUUAUUCCUAAGUUUUUUAAGAUGGUACCUGUAGCAGUAGUAACUAGUAAGAUACCGUAAAGAGAAUAAGUCUUUGUUUAAUUAUUUGGUUAGCAUAAGUAAUAAGCCUAUGUUGACACCUUAUUGAUUUGAGCUCAUAUAAAAUUGCAUCUCCACUUCAAGUUUUUGCGGGUAGGUGAGGUAGUUUAGUAGCUUCUAAAGUUUUCAACUUAAAAAUAGUUUUGAAUUGAGAGAGUCCAACAUACGAAUGCUAUUGUAUAUAUAUCAGUUAUUAAAAAGAAUAAAAAAUGUGAUUUACCCGUAACCAUCAGGAGUCAAACUUAUCACUUUCCUCGGUCAACACGCGCCACCUCCGCCACUACUCAAUCUCCCUCAAUCUCCAAACUCCUCUUCUCGUUCUCCCUCCGCAGAACCCCUCCUCUCUCCUUCGCCGAUUCCCGUCACCUCCCUGUACCCGGUCAGGAUGAUGCUCCGGCGGUGCGGUUACCGCUUCUUCGUCGUCGUCGUCGCCAUCGUCGUCCUCCUCGUGGUCGCCGCGGCGCUGUCAGAGGCGAGUGGGGGGAACGCGACGUGUCCUUACGACAUCGCGGAGGCGUCGGGGAUGAUCCCGGCGGCGUGCUACGCCAACGCGACCAACGCCGCCGCGUCGGCGGCCACGAGCUGCUGCUGGUUCGUCGUGGGCUCCUACAUCUUCGCGGCGGCGCGCUACGCCAACCUCUCCGGCGCCGCCUUCCUCCCCGCAGCCGACUCCUCCGCCUGCUCCUCCGCCUUCUCCUCCUUCCUCCUCGGCAGCGGCCUCGCCUCCCCCUCCCUCUUCAACGGCUCCUGCGACCUCUCCUCCUCCUCCUCCUCCACCGGCGGCGGCGGAGACCUCGCCGCGGGGGCGCGGCCGUGCCAGUACGCGUCGGUCUCGGAGCUCCGCGCCGCCGCGCCAGCGGCGCUCGACAACGCCACCGCGCUCUGCGCCGGACCCUCCGCCUCCCCCGACCUCGUGGCGGACCAGGCCGGGUGCGCCGCGUGCCAGACCGCCGUGAUCGGCCUCACCUUCGCCCUCCUCGGCGCCGCCGGCCCGAGCGCCGAGCCCGUCCCCUGCGGCAUGGCCGCCACCAUCGGGGUCUGGUCCCGCUCCCGGCCCUCCCUCCCCCGCUUCCGCUCCUACGCCCUCUGCAUGGUGCAGGUCCUCGAGAACGUCAACACCCUCGGCGGGGGCGACUUCGUCCCCUCCCCUCCCCCUCCCCCUACCCCUCCCCAUACCGCCUCCUCCAGGUCCGUCAAGAUCGCCGCCGGAUCCGCCGCCGCGGCCCUGGCCUCCGUGGCGGCGAUCGUCCUCCUCUCCAUCUCCAUCUACAGCGCUCACCGCCGGAGAUCCUCCGUCGCCGACGAUCAGGCCCCGGCGGCCGGGGCGGCGCCGGUCCUCCCGACCGACGGGCUGUACAUCUUCACCGAGGCCGAGCUGCAGCAGGCGACCGAGGGCUACGACGACCGGCUCCUCCUCGGCGAGGGCGGCGCGGGCAAGGUGUACCUCGGGAGGCUCCCCAGCGGGCAGCACGUGGCGAUCAAGCGCAUCUACCGCGACCGCAAGAUCGCCGAGUUCUACCGCGAGGUCGAGAUCCUCGCCAAGCUCCGCCACCGGAACCUCACCACCCUCCUCGGCUACUGCGCCGCCGGCCGCGGCCGCCACGUGGCGCUCGUCUACGAGUACAUGGCGGGCGGGAACCUCUCCCGCGCGCUGUUCGGCGGGGAGCUGGCGUGGCGGCGGCGCCUCCGGAUCGCCGCGGACGUGGCGGAGGGGCUGGUGUACCUCCACGAGUUCCCCGAGGGCGCCGUCGUGCACCGCGACGUCAAGCCCACCAACGUCCUGCUCUCCGCCGCCGCCGCCGACGCCGCCGCGAAGCUGUCGGACUUCGGGGUGUCGAGGAUGGUGCCGCACGAGGGGACCCACGUGUCCACGGAGGUGCGGGGCACGAUGGGCUACGUCGACCCGGAGAGCUUCUGCGUCGGCCACGUGUCGGAGGCCGCCGACGUGUACAGCUUCGGGGUGGUGCUGCUGGAGCUCGUCACGGGGAUGCGCGCGGUGGUCCCCACGCCCUCGGGCGGGGCCGAGUCCAUCGUCCACGCCGCGCACGCCGCGGUCCAGCACUUUCGCGCGGGAUCGGACGGCGCCGACGACGCGGAGGAGGGGGCGGUGGGCUCCAUCGUGGACCCGCGCCUCGGCGCGGGGUGGGACCGCGCGUCCGUGGCCGCGGUGUUCCGCCUCGCCUGCCGCUGCGUGCGCCCGUACAAGAACGAGCGCCCCCGCAUGGCCGAGGUGCUCGCCGCGCUCAAGGCCACGCUCGCGGAUCUCGAGGCGAGGUCCGAAGGCCGCGCCGCCGCCGCCGCCGCAUCGGAGCCGUCCGUCACCGAUGAGUCGUCGUCGUCGUCGUCGUCGGCGCCCUCGGCGUCGCGCACCUCCACGGCCUCGGCGCACGGGUGGUCGUCGUGAUGUAAUCCGACGGGCCCGAUCGACCCCACGCAGGUUGACGGCUUUUGCUUUUUUUUUUUUAAUUAAAAAAAAAAGAAAAUAUUUAUUUUUUACUUCGUAUAUCAUCAUCGGCGACGGCGAUUCGAGCUCGACCGCGUGAUUUUGGCGUGUAGCGGAGUUCUGCUGACGUGGCAGGGCCGCACGCGGUAUAGAAAGCUCGGCCCCCGUCCGUUUACUCGAUCAUCUGUGUCCGUACAACCAUGAGUGGGGCCGGGGCCUGGGCCUUGGCCCUUGGGGGAGUUAAAGAAAGAGAUUCGACUUGUAAGUUGUAAAUUGAUAUAAUAAUAAUAAUUAUUAUAAGAAUUAAGCGAGUAAAUUGUAAUAAUAUUGUUAUUAGAACAUAUUUAAAUGUAGCGGCUCAAGGAUCUAAUGGAAACUGGUAUCAGCUACAUAGUAACACGUAUAAACAAUGAUAAAUGUAUUAUAAAUGUUGCUACUUGAUUGAUCUGCUAAGAAACCCAUUUUGGAAUGUUAUCAAUCAUCCAGUGAGUGCAUAUAACAUGAUAUAUAAAUUAUAAAUUAUAAAUUAUUAUUCAGUAUUUGAAAAAAGUAUAGAAAUGCAGAGAACUAUUCUUCAGAAUUCCAAAAAUACGUGCUACAUAUAACUGGUACAAAACUAUACUAAAAAAGAGUCAUAAAACAAGCUUGAUUUUGUGAUCUUGUAUAAGAUAGAAGAUGUGUGCUUUGUCACCGUUCUAACUAACGAAGAACAUCGACGCAUUAAAUUUUAACUGCUGAUAAAUAUAUACAUGUAUAUAUAGGACGAAUUCAAGGGAGUGAUCGAUCACUGGAUUAAUUAUAUCCUUUCUCCAAUUCAGUGUCCCUAUCAUUUCAUUCAUAGCUAAUAUUUAAUAUCUAGCUAUUACACUGGUAGUUGGUAGUUGUACAAGUAUACAUAUCAUUCCCUACACUUUCUCUAUUAUAUGUUAAUUUUGGUGUGACAUUAACUUAAUAAAUGUUUUGCACCACCCAAAUUAACCUCCAACAACAUUAGUCUUUUUCGGAUCAAUUGGUGGGCCUUUUAAUUGAUGCCAACCCCUGUAUUUUGUCUUAAUUAAAGUUGCGGUCCUCAAAGAAGGACAAGUCAUGCUCAUAAAUUGGUCACAAAUUGUAUACAAAAUUGACAUAGUUUUCCUCGUAAUGGUUACUAAAAAUUAGGUUUUUUAUCGUACGUAAUUAGGAGACUUGGAAUAUGUAGGAUGACGCAAUACGGGAUAUUACUUUUUUUUUUGAGAAAAAGAUAGCAUGCUAUACGCUUCGUUCAUCUCUUUUAGAAAUAAAUUUAGCUGAAAAUAUAAAUUAAUUAUAAUUCAAACUUGAAACUUAAAUUUAGCUGAAAAUAUAAAUUAAUUAUAAUUCACACUUGAAACCUCGGGAAUCAAUCACCAAAUUUUUUUGUCACUUGCACUAGGGACGGUCAGUUGAGGCAAUUUAUGUUGGUUACAAAACAAAAACAAUUUUUGUUGUUUACCAAACAAAAACAAAGAAAAAGCGAGAAAGAGGAUGAAAAGGAGAGGCAAGAGAAAAAAAGAAAGAAAGGGGGGGAGAAAAAUUUAAUAAGCAGAUCACGUUAGUUGAGAAUAGUCGAAUAAAGAAAUUACAAUAAUUUAAAAUAAAAAAGAAGAUAAGAGAAGUUGUUUUCAAUGAGGUUUUACUACUAGAGGUAAUGGUAUUUUGAUUGAUUUGCUAUAGCUUAUAAGAGGAAUUACACGAAAAACUGUAGGGCCUGCACAAGGACGCAUUGGAUGAGGAUUUAUCUAGAAAGUUACAGCUAUUUAAACUUAAAAAAAAAUAUUACUUUGUAAAUAUUAACCAAUUUUACUUCUAAAAAAAUUUUAGUUUAAUUUUAUGAAGUUCGAAUAUUUAUAUUUAAAACAGUUGCUUUCUUAAACAAAGAAUUGACUAAUUUUUGAGAAAAAUAAGUGGUCAAAAUUUAGUUGGUUUGUGGGAUGUUAAAAAAAAAGAAAAAAGAAAGAAAGAGUUGAGAAGAAUUAAAUUAAAAUAUGUGGUAGUAGGAAAUUAAAAGAAAGUGAAAAAUACUGUCAGAAGUGGGAUUUGAACCCACGCCCUCUCACGAGGACCAGAACUUGAGUCUGGCGCCUUAGACCACUCGGCCAUCCUGACCCAUUUUGUUAAUUUCAUUUAAAGAUUUUAUUUAAACUAUAAAAUUUAGAAUUGGUAAAUUUAAAUUUAAACUAUUAGAGGCCAUUAAAGUAUAUAAAAUUUAGAUUUAAACAAAAUUAGAGGCUAAAUUUAAAUUAACAUCUUACGGUUUCAGUGAAAGUUUAUUAAGAUUCACGUCUAUUAAGCUAUUAGCCAUUCAUAUCUAGUAAUAUCUAUUACUACUCUAUAAGCUAUAAUAUUUAACUUAUUCAUUAUUCAAUUUGACAACUUACUCAAUAUAAACUUGCUUAAAUGAACAAGUUAAUAGUUGAUUAAUUUGUAGGGGUGCCAACGAAAAGGAAAAUAUUUGUAGGGCUUCAGUUUAAGAAAGUUAUAGUUGAGGGGGUUUUUGUACAUUUUUACGUAUUUUAUGGUUCACCACGUCAUCGGAAUCCAGGAAAAAAAAGGACACUACCACCUUCGCCACGUGUCAUACUCGGGUUAGCUCAUGUUUCGUAGACCCGGUUCAUCCUUAAUUCUGUUUAUCUUUUCGGUGUAGAGAAAGCUCCCUUUGUUCUUUUUUAUCAAAUCCAUUUUCCCAACAAAAACCAAAAAAAGGCCCACAAAGUUAAGGCGAUUCCCCAAUCGAAACCCUAGAUCUCACUUCCCAAUCCCUCUACUCGAUCCAUCCGUUUCCUUCUCCCCCUAUCGGUUUCGAUUCGCUCUUCGGUUCAGCGUGCACAUCGCAAUCGUAUUCGGUUCUUUUCAGCUUCCGAUCGAGGGUUUCGGCACUCUCAGUAGAUCGAUUGGGGGCCAAUUUGUGAGAGGUAAGAGGAAUCUCGUAAUCACAGUUGGAUUUGAUGGGAUGUAGUGUUCUAGAUCCGUUUAUGCUUCUGCUUCGUAGGUUUAGGUCACAAAUGGUGUGAACUUUUUAGGUCGAAAUGUACGGACGUUGUGCACUACAGAGCAAUUUGAAAUCGGUACUUGAACUUUUAGAAGUUUUGAUUUUACUUUCUGAAUUUUAAUGUUUUGAUUGUGUUUGCUUACAUUUUGAAGGAAUAUUCUGUAAACUAUCGAGAUCUUCUGCUACUUGUUGGAAUAUUGGGGAGAAAUUGCUACAAAUGCUGUUAGGUCUUAGGUAGUAGAAUCAGAUUAAAUUUUAUAUGCUUAUUUUGUAAAUUCUGUAACUUUAGAUAGUUAAAUCUGAUUUUGAAACUUCGGGAGGUCCUAUUGCAUCUAUGUUCAUGUUUGAUAAAUUCAAACGCAUAUUAAAAUGUUCAUGUUUGAUAAAUUCAAACGCAUAUUAAAAUGUUCAUGUUUGAUAAAUUCAAACGCAUAUUAAAAUGGUAGGAAUAAAUAACUUACAAACACAAGUAGUGUCAUGACAGUUCAUACAAAUAUUAUUAGAUGUCUCUUGUCAAUGAUUGUCUUUGUGGAAAUUUGGAGCAAAUUCAAAUGGAAUAUGGUGAGGUUAAAAGCUCGCAGAAGUGUUUAUCAAGAUUUUUUGGUUUAUUGAUUUUAAAGUUCAUUUCGUGUAAAUGUUAUUUCCCUGAAACGGCGGAGAUCAAGAACAGUCAAGUUGAUAAUUAUUUUGGAUUAUCUGAUGAUAAUUUCUGAACAUUUUAGCUCAAUAGGAAAAUUGAUCCUUUCUGUUCUUUGUAGUGGUGAGUGCCUAGUGCAUUUAUCUUGUUUUCUCUUCUUUCUUGUUUAGAUGGUUUUUUAUGUUUGUAGUUGUUAAACCUUUUUGUGAGGGCAAAUAAGUUGUAGUUAUUGGCUAUUUCACUUAUUAGAGUUGUAGUUGGUUCAAAUUUCAAUCUGCAACUUUCUUAUUAACUAUUACUUACAUGAGGUUAGAAGUUUAUAAAUUUGCAGAAGUUCUCAUCAAAAGAGGGGAAAAAAAACAAAAGGCAAUCAGGGGACUAAUAUGCUUGAAAGGUGAAACUGUGGUUUCCCUGCUAUUAUAUGCAGACUAUAGAAAACUUGGUUUUCUCCUUUCGUUUUUCAGGUUUCCUUCUUUACAUCCCUUUCUUGAGUUGUUGUAUAACUUCUUAACUAGUUAGCUUGGAACGGGUAAUCCUACUUUUGUUCAUAUCCUUUUUCCCUUUAUUUUAUGUCCCGUUCUUCAUCAUAUUUGCUUAAUGCACUCAUUUUCGUACAUCACCUAGAUGGAUGCUGAUGCCGAAAACCUUUAUGGAGCACAAUGCUUGGUUUGCAGAAGGCCUUUUUCUCUGGAAACAGAAAUAAACGAUGGUUUUGAAGCAAUAAAUAUCUGCAGGGAGUGUAAAAUGAUUGUUCUCAACAGUCCUAAUAGAGAUGUUUCUAUUAGAGAUAUUCGUCGAAGAAGGCGGCUAAGAAGAAGAAGAGCAUUGAGAUAUGGAAGCUCCAAUUCAGUGGACAGUGAUUCAUUUUCACAAAGGUUCUCCCAUUUGAUUAAUUUGGCAAGCCAAAGCCAUGAGACAGAUUCUACUCCAAACCGUUCUAGAGGGUGGCAGAGUACAAUCUCCGACAACGAGAGUGAUUCUGUGUUCGGUGAGAGUGAAUCGAACCUCAGUUUCAGUAACUAUGGAGGAGAAUCAGAUACUUCGAUCGAUCAGAAUAGUUUAAUGUACUUCCAACUUGAAAAUGAAAGCUAUGUAUACACUGAUACAGAUAUUGAUCCAAUGCAUGCCGGCUUGGAUCAGUGGAAUUCGGACGACCAAGAUGAAGAAGAAGAUGGGGGGGAUUGGGAUGAUAGAGAAAGCCCUAAUGGCAUUGUAGAGAGAGAAAGUCAAAAUCAAGAUGGUGCUCUUGUUCAUCGGAGGAUGAGGGGGGCUUUCGAAAUGGGUACACAUUAUGCCGACCUGUUUGUCGACUUCGAGGACUUUGAAUUGGAGAUUAGACCAGCAGGUUUCACUGCAGAUCCAGGUGACUAUGUAGACCCUGCACGGUUCGAGGAGCUUCUAGAACAAUUUGCGGAGAAUGAUGCGUCGAGAAGAGGGGCGCCGCCGGCUAGUGCUUCAGUCCUGCUGAAUCUUCCUUCCGUGGUUAUAUCAAAGAGCCACGAAAAGGACGGUAGCUUAAUUUGCCCAGUUUGCAAGGACCCAUUGCCGAUAAACACUGAAGCAAAACAGCUUCCUUGUCUGCACCUCUACCACCCAUCGUGCAUAUUACCAUGGUUAAGUUCAAGAAAUACAUGCCCCGUUUGCCGUUAUGAGCUCCCCACUGACGACAUUGAAUAUGAGAUGGCCAAGACAGAGCUACUGAGCAGGAAUUUGGCCGAGGAGAGUUCUUAUAAUAGAUCUAAUGAUGUGGAGGUCAAUGAAACUCAUGAUAAUAGUAAUGACAGAAUCGCCAGUAGAAUGGCGGAGAGUAGAGGGGAGGCCAGCGGCGACCAAGUCGGGGUUAGAUCGAAUGGCCGGGAUCGGAGAGGCGGCGGGUGGUUGUUUUUAGCUGCAGCUCCGAUAGUUAGUCUUGUCGGUAUCGUUCUAGUAUUGUGGUUCAAGAACCCUCAUGGUAAUAAUAACAGAAGUCGGUGCGACGCUAGAGAACAGGCGCAGGCGGGAAGGCAACUUAGUGGAGCUCAGAGCUCCGUCGCUCGCGGAGAUAGAAAGAGAAGAUGGUGGUCUUUCUUUUAGGUGAUUUGCUUGUUUUUUAUGCUCUUUUAAUCUUCUGAUUGCUUUUUCGUUGCUGGUGUUCUCUUUCGUAUGGUGACUGUUUAAAUAAGUUUCAACUUCGACCUUUGGGAAAUUGCUAAGGUGAGCGUCCUCUCAACUACUGUUUGCAUCGUAUUGUGUAUACUGGGGUUGUGGUGCGAUGGUAAACAAUCUCACUAGAAAACACGGCUGAAAAGAGAGAAUCCUCACCAAAGGCCAAACCUUUGUUUCUUACGUACUUUUAUUACCUCUUAUCCUAAAUCUAGUGCUCCCUAAGAGUGGUUGGAGUACGCUUUUUAUUUUUUAUCUUUUAUUUUCUGCUUAAUCUCUAAGCAACUGAAUGUGAUUGAUUGUGUGUCAUUAUAAAAUUUCAUCUGAUUGAAUGUGUCUGUAGUUAAGAGUUUUGUACUGUUCUUAUUAUUGCCGAUUAGCCUACAUAUAUUUUCACAAAAGCAAGUUAGCUAACAUGGAAUUCGACAUCCAGAGCCAGAUCCUGUCUAUUACAGGCGACUGAGAUUGAUUCCGUCUUUUAUGGACGGUUAAUGCAUUCCCUGCUCAUCAUCGAGGGCACGGUAGGUGCAACCUUCUGUGCAGAAAAUAGGUGCAACCUUCUGUGCAGAAAAUUUUUAUGAGCGGAAUGAUCUCGCUCUUGACGAGUAGAUAUGAGCAGAUAAAAUGUAUUUCGUCAAUGAUGAGCUGUAAAAUUAUUUGUAGCGUCGACGACGUCGGUCAAUCGCCUAAGGAAAUUUCCGAGAAGUAGUUGCCUCAAUAAUGGACUCCACAUGUUCUGGUUGUACCGAUUUCGGUGCGUCCAGGACAACAGAUGAUUUACGGUACGAUACUGCAAGAUCCUGUACGUACAGUACUAUCCAGCUCGAAUCUGGGCCACACAACGCAAAAUGCGCUGGGCCCUCGAUCUGCCACGUGGCGACAGGAUACCGACAAAGAUCUCCACGGACGGACGGACGUCGCUGCACCUUCACUUCACUUCGCGUCCACUCCACUCGACGUCUCGACUCUCGACCGCUCCACCUUCCCACAUCGAUGCCCUUUUCGAAGUUCGAACCACUACCAUUUAAUUAAUCCUUGACCGUCCACUCACCGGAUCCAGCCAAAGAUCGACCGUCCUUUUUGGCGUGUAUCAACUAUCCUCAUAAUCGAUGUGGUAAUAAUUUAUCAUCAGUAGGAUGGAAUACGUUUUUAAUAAAUUUUUAGUAGUGACAGUUUUGGAGGGGAUCCGGCCUAUGAAUUUGAGGAUGAUGUGACGAUCGUUUGGAAUAAUUGGAUGUCGAGAUAAAGAAUAUGCGGACCCGUUUGCAGCAUACAAUAUGAUCAUAUAUUUGAAGAAAUUGUGAGAGAAAUUUAUCCUGACAAAGUAGCUUUAACACCCCUACUCUUUUAUUUUUAUUUUUAUUUUUAUUUUUUUAAUCUUGACUGAGAUAUAUUGGCUCAUCUAUACAGCCUAAUUCAUAAUGAAACAGGUAGCAUGUUAUUAUUUUCUCAAAAAAAAAAAAGUUUAUUAUCAGUGAUCCAACGGUCCAUAUCGAGGGGAUAAAAAAUGGACCCCUGAGAGCCUAUAAAUUUCUUAGCCUCUGCAGACCUAUUGGACUACCUUUUCAGUGUAUUUUAGAUUAGGUAAAAUCAUAUAAAACUUAUUUAAUUUUGGAUCAUUUAAAUUUUUACUACUUAGUUUAUUAUAAAUUUUAAUUUUACUAUCUAUUUUUUUUAAAAUUUAUUCAAUUUAAAUCAGUCAACGAUAUUUUGACUCAAAAAUUUAAACUAAUUACUUACUUUAAUAAAUUUAUAAUUAUAAAAAUUAUAUAAAAUAUGCUAACUAAACUUAUAAAGAUAAACGAUAUAUUCAAAUUUUGAAGUCAAAGUGUCGUUGACUGACUUAAAUCAAACAAAUUGAAAGAUUAAUUAGUAAAUUUAAAAUUUGGUUGGAUAAUUAAAUUCUAAUAGUCUAUAAUUUAGAUAAGUUUCAUAUAUUUUUACCUUUAGAUUAUUAAUAAUUUUUUUUUUAUCGAAGUUAAUUAUUCAGAAUAUUUCUUUAGUAAAAAUAAUUUAAAUUACAAUAUUUAAAAAGUAGGAAAGUAUUAAUAAAAGGGGUAAACUUCAAAUAUCACCCAUGUGGUUUCGCACUUUCUCACUUUAGUAUCUCAUGGUUUAAAGUGUAUCAAGUUAGUAUCCUGUGGUUUUAUUUUUAUCUUUUCGUCAGUUUUUUCGUUAAUAUUUCGUUAAAUUAUAUACAAAAAAAAAUUUAGAUACCUAUAUAGGUUUAUCGAAUAUUCACUUUAGUACUCGUUAGUUUUAACUUUGUCACUAAUUUAACGAAAAAAAUUAGUCGAAUCCAUAAUAAAAAGAUAAAAAUAAAACCACGUGGCACUAAAUUGAUACACGUUAAACUAUAGGGCACUAAAGUGAAAAAGUGUGAAAUCAUGUGGUGGUGUUUGAAAUUUUUUCUAAUAAAAGGAUAUAUUAUUAGACUAAAGUAAUACAGUUUCGUAGCAGUGAGCUGUCAAAAAAUUUCAAUUAAUUUUUUAUUUCCAAAAUUUCUCAAUUAAGUACUACAAAUACCAAACGCGUACUCACCCACUAAUACACCCAACCCCAUAUAGUGUGUGUGUAUAUAUAUAUACACACUGUGCGGCCCCAGUGUUACACUUGUCGGUGCACUCGGUCCACCAAGCGCUUAUAAAAAGAAUUUUUUUAAAAAAGGAAUUUUAAAUUAUUUCCUUUCAUUGAAAACGCCCAUCUAACGUCCGUAAGUUAAUAAAUGUUCUAACGGACGUUAGUGAGCUGGGCAUGUUGGCCCCACCAAUAAAACACCAAAUAUACGAGACCUUUUGUCUCCCUCUGUACCGACCGUAGGAUUAGGAUUAGACGGUUGUGAUCUUUGAUUUUGGGGAACACAGUGAUGUGGAAACUUUACAAAAUGGCCCCCCGUUGAGUAAUCAGAACGUUGGGAAAAAGAGGGACCAAAAAGAAAUAAAAGAUAAAAUUUUAAUAAAACUAUACUUUAUCCAAGUAAUAUAAUUGUUUCUAAAUAUUAGAUACUUAGUUUACUUAUACUAAUUUCCUACUACGCUAAAAAAAAAUUACUAUAGAAUAAAAUAUUUAAUUAUUAUAUUAUAAAAGUUUAGGUAGCGUUUACUAUAGAUUUCAUUUUAUACGCAAAAAGAGCAAACGUAACGGCGUUAAUGCGUGGAGCUGACGCCUCCGUCCACGUAGGACAAAAGUCAGGGGCAGUUUGGGGAAUUCGCAAAUGCCAAGUGGGUUUUAUCAGUGGUUUAUGCGCCACUUCCUCGUGAUAUAUCUUUUUUCUUUUUUCUUUUUUCUUUUUUCUUUUUGGUUUUUGGGUCACACUCCUCUCCUUACUCUCCUCUAGUUUCGUUCUCUAAAAUCUCAUUCUCUCCCCAUUAAAGGCGUCGGAUUCGAUUUGGGAUCUCUACGAUCUCCGCGCGGUUAGGGUUUUCCUUUUGGAAGGGUUCUCUUCGUUUGAAAUCUCCGCAUUUUGGAGGUAAUUUGAGCUUUAAAUCGAUCCGCAUUGGUCGGUUUGGGGAUUUUUUGGUGUUUCCGCAGUUAAAAAGUUUCCAAAAGAGGGAUUUUUCGAAGGAUUUGGUGGUUUAUUGAGUAGAUUGAUCUCCAAAUACACAGGCAUUGCUGAGAUUUCAAGCAAAAGUUAUCAGUGUUAGGGUUUCAUUCCAGCUUAAUGCAGGUGCUGUGGAGAAAAAUUGGGGUUUUUAGCUUCAAAUAUUCUGUUUCUUGGUGAUUUCGUUCCAAUGUAUCAUACACUGGUGCUCAGUUAAUCCUUGUAGAUCAUUUUUUUACUUCGUUUUGCUUUGAUUUGGUUGUGCACAUUGCCUCUUCUUACUACUGAAAAGUACAAUGAGAAGCAUGAAAUAGCUCCAUACUACACCAACUGCUGAAAUCUACACAUACUAUGAAGUUAAAUCCUCAAUUCUCGCUGUUUCUUUCUCUGUUCCUCAUAGUUUUGUCUACACCACUAUGUGAUUCCCAACCUCCUGAAUCUUCUCCUACACUAGCAAGAGAAUUGGAUGCAGUUCUUCAAGACUAUGCAUUUCGAGCUUUCGUCCACCCUAAAACUGGAAUCACUUACGACGGUUCUGUCCCUUCUAAUCUCACUGGUAUUCAGAUCGCUGCUCUAAGGCUUCGGAGCGGAAGUUUCAGAAAGAGGGGAGUUACAAGGUACAAAGAAUUCCAGGUCCCGCCAGGGGUAAUUAUUCAGCCCUACGUGGAGCGCAUUGUUCUUGUUUACCACAAUUUGGGAAAUUGGUCUUCUUUCUAUUAUCCUUUACCUGGUUUUACCUACUUAGCCCCCGUGCUCGGGCUCCUUGCUUAUGAUGCAUCGAAUUUAUCAGCCACCGACGUGCCUGAAUUGGAUUUUGUAGCUUCUGAUUCACCGCUAUUGAUCAAGUUCACAAACUUGAGCCCAGUGUCGGGUGCGGUCAUGGCUCAGUGCGUAUGGUUCGAUUUGGAUGGCGUGCCGGAGUUCAGGGACUUGGUUUCGAGAAAUACUUGCUCUACGUACCGACGGGGACAUUUUUCGAUAGUGGUCAACUCUACAGAGAUUCUCUCUCCUCCAGGGCCGGGUGUAUUUCCAAGUGAGCACAAGAAGAGCUCUAGAGUGUGGAAAAUUGUUGGAGGAGUGAUAGGAGGGUUUGUUGUCCUAGUUCUGGUUGCAUUACUUGUGGUGUGGAUAAGUCGGUGCAAACGGAGUAGAAAAGUGGCAGAAAUGGAAAGGCGGGCGGAGGUGGGGGAGGCAUUGCAAAUGGCACGGGUUGGGGACACCCAGGCACCUGUGGCAUUAGGAAUACGUACACAACCAAGGCUUGAGGAUGAGUAUGUUGCAUAAAUUGAUUUUGUAGGGUCUACAAUUGAUUAAGCCCUAAGUAUAUGUUGUUAGGAUUUGAUGGAGAUAAACUUAAAGGCGAACCAGUAACACGGCAGUGCUCAUUAACAAGGAACAAGUGGGGGAUGUUGAAAAUGUCCAGUAUGUAAAGAAUCAGCAGGUAUUCAUUGGUUAUGUUCCUUUUACCUUUUAUCUUAGUCUUUGUUCAAGAUCAGAUCAGGGCAUUCUUUUGAGGGAGUUAGCCGAAACGAUCUUCAUGGAAUUGUGUCCAUCUAUGAGGAAUUUCCAACCAUCUAUAUAUGGACCUUGGAGACGAAGGCACCCCUAUGUAGUAUUGGUGGUCUGGGCGUAUCUUAAUCAUUCUUUUUGUUGCUGUACUCAAAUCAAGCUUGCAAAUAAAUAUGAGGAAUUAUUCAUUUCUGUUUUUCAAUCGGUGUCGUUUUGGUAUGCUCUUCUUCUCCAUUUACGCUGUUGAUUCUUUAUUACUUUGAAUAUGUUUAAAUGCACCUUAUUACAUUAUUUUUCAAACCGGAAUGUCAAAGGUGAUACCUAAGUAUUCUGAUGAACCAAACCUUAGUGUAAGUUGUCACCAAUUAAGAAACUACUGGGACAAAUAGUCAUGGAGUCAGCUUAACAAAAUUGUGUCAUUGUCUAGGAUUUUUUUUUUCUGUCCAAUAGCCACUUACUUUGGCCAACUUUUGCAAUAUAUCAGGAGAAAUGGUUAUUUUCUUAAACAAUGUAAACCGUAUGUAUAAUGGAAAGCUCCCUUUUAAAUAUAUCACAGCAAACGUGAUCAAUCUUUUAAAAGGAAAAGAUGGCAUUCCACAUGAUAAUACAAUUAUUUUAUGAAAUAUUAGAAUAAAUGUCGGAUGAAUAUUUGGCUAAUAGUAGCAUGUUUGAAGUGGCUCAAGUAAUGCUGUUUGAGGAAGCUAUCGGGAAGAGAAUUAACAACUUGGUCGUCGUUGAUAUCCUCCCUAGUAGCUAGCUUUCCUUUGUGGCAAAAGGAGAAGUUUCUUAUUAGAGCUUCUGCUUAUGGUAUGCUAAAGCUCAUUUAAGCUUUCUUGCUGCUACAAACCUACUUUUAUUUGCCAAGUGCCUAGAUGGUGAUUUUCUUGGAAUAGAUAUGCCGCUGCAAACCUCAAGCAAAAAGGGCACUUGGUGGACUCCCAACUGUCUUCAAUCAAGGUUAGUUUAACUUCAUUUUUACUUCUUUUAGCACCAUGUUAUGGAGAUUUCUCUCAAAAAAAAUGCACCAUGUUAUGGAGAUGAUUUACUAAUGCAUACAUUGCAUUUUUACCACAUUUAGCACCAUGUUGUGGACAUGAUUCACGAAACUAAAAUAAAGAAAACAAAUGAAAAGGUUUCUUUCAAAUUGUGAGGUGAGAGUGAAAGUUUUCAAGUUCAGUUUGUAAAAUAUACUAGUUAAAAGGCAAAAUUUAAGGUCACCUAAGUUGAGAUCUACAUAGUACAAGAAAACCACUGUUCAAUGAAUGAUGCCAAAAGGAAUGCCAACAAGCAUCCAUCUUGGCACUUGUCAUUGUCUAUGUGACUAGAAGAUGUUUGGAAUCUAUAGCAUGUCACCAACCUAUUUGCGAAACUAUAGAGUAUGCAUAAAUACUCAUCAUGUGAUUAAAGUUAUGAUCUGAACCCUCUAGAUGAUUAGCACAAUUAACAAAAUCUAGCAGAUGUCAUAAGAGGUUUUGAAAUCUUUAGCCCUGACAAUAACAUAUUAAAUUAAAUAAACCACGCAAAUAUGCAUGUUAUAUUGUCAUUAAAUUAAUUAACACUCAGUCAUGUCAUUAAACUGAGGAUUUGAACUAUCUAGGUGAUUAAUACAUUAAUAAAGUUUAGCGGAGGUCAUUAGUAGUUUAAAAUAGUAAGUCACUGGAACGUAGUUAAAGAAAAAUAGAAAAGAGAUAAACAUAGAGACAUUCUUCUGGUUAUGUAAGUUUAAAAUUUGAAAUCAAACACUGAUACAAGGUGUGACUAGGUUUAUUAUCAUGUACAACCCUAUCUAUUAAGACAAACAAGGAUUUUGUUUCACUUGUUGAUAUAAAUUUAUUUUGCCGUACCUAAGUGAUAUAAUAAUGUGUACAAUGUAUGAGUAUUAUGGGUACAUCGAAAAUUCAUAGUAGAUUCUGGAAUCACACUUCAAAAAGAAAUAUACCACAAAUAUUUUUAUAGUUGCGCUACCACUAUUCCAGAGUAUACAUGGAGGCUUCGUAUAUACAACAGGGUUACCUCCUACAUACGACAUUUACAAAACGAAGCACUCUUUUACUCUUUGAAUCAAAAGGUCUCAAAAAGCUUCAGGUCAAAAUGAUAUGUCCAAAAGUUUCAGGUCAUAACGGCUUCACCAUAAAGCAGCCUCCGAAUCUGCAGGAUAGAAAGGGCAUAAAGAUUAGGACAAAUCUCAUAAAAACAAGGAGAUGAUUUGAUCAUAAAUGUCAUCAGAUGAACAAUGAGCACUAAAUAAAUGUCCUAGAAAAACAGAAAAAAAAAACUUUGAGAAACUGCAUGAGAAAGCAAGCAAAAAUAUGACAAGCCUAGCUAGUGAUAAGUCAUUCACAUCUAAAAUUUAUGUCUACAAGUAUAUUUAGGAGAAUUACCUGAGGUAGUUUUUGUUUAAAAGCAAGGUCCAAUCUUGCAUCCAAGGUGUUCUCACACAGAAUCUUUCUAUCCUGUGAUGCUAUAACAAUGCCUCCGGAGCUGCUUUUAGCCGAAGCCACGGAAACAACAAGAACACUUAUUAAACUCUAGAACCAGCAAUUCCAUAUGAUAAAACUCAGAAUAUGACAACAAACUGUGUUUCACUAAAGCAACAGGGUUGAUGAGUGUGUUAUAGAAGAGGUGUUGUGAUCUGCAAGAGCCAAUAAGAGUCUCUUUUACUUCCCAGAACGUUUAGACAACUCCUAUUUGGAUAAAUCAAUUGAUAGUCGAGGAGGCGUCGAAUAUUUCGAGUUGUAAACAACAACAUACAUCGAGAAUCUAGAAACUAAUUAAGAAGGUAGUCUACAAUAUAAAUCUUGAAGAUAGUAAUCCAUGUAAAAUACGAAUUUAAAGAGAAAAUGGGUGAUGGAGAUGCAUGGAUGUAGUGAGAUACCAAAACUGCUCCUGACACUCAUGGUGGGUUGGAGGUGAAGGAAGGUACACUUUCUCAUCAACAGUAACCUUUGGAGGAUGAACUUUUGCUCUCCUUGCGUAUUCUUGUGCAGCUUCAUCCAGUAUAGAUUCGACCAAAUAGCGAUCAAUCUCUCUACACCAUAGCAACACCGAGGGCUCUCUCAUAAGCACCAAGCUCUGGAGAUAAACAUAAAACAGUCCAGUAGAACAGUUCAAUUAAGGGUAUAUAUAUUUCUGUAAGCACAACAGUAUAAAUCUGACAAAUCGAACUUUUGAAGGAAAUAGAACAACAUUGAAAUUUUGUUUGGACACAUAAGUAUUAGAUAGAUAAUUUGCAGCAAUAUUCAUAAACUACAUCUGUCAGAGAAGGCGAACAUUGCGUAAUGCAUUUGUCCUCAAACUUUAAUUAAGAUUGAUUACUUCUCUAAAAUUUAGAGAAAGAUAAUGAAAUGUACUAAAAAUUGAGAAUUCGAGUCCGUGCCAAGUUUUUCUGGUUUCACUGGAUGAUCAUGUAACUUACUAAUCGUUAAAAAAAAAAAUACCAAAGAAAAAGGGAAAAAAAAUGUUGUAUUCAACUAGAAAAUGAAAGAACCCUCAAUAACAGCCGUUCAUUACAUAAUGUGUCUAAGAAGAAGAAAAAUUGCAUUUUCACCUGAACAAUUAAACCUCUCAAGAGCUCUUUGUAUGCAUUUGAAUCAUCGGCAAUACGUAAGAGCUUAUCACUACAAGCAGUUCUCAUUGAGUUCACCAGAUCAUGCUGCACCUGUAGAACUUUAACGCGCGAAGCAUUUACCUGCCUAGAGUACUCACUGGAAAGAUAUUUCACGGUUAAGGAACAAAAUUUUUGCAACAACUUCGUCCGAAAAGUAGUACCAAAUCCGUAGAUUAAUAAGUUUGUGUGAUAGAUCGCAAAGAGUGAUGAACUCACAUUCGUCUGCGAACUUCCACCUGUUUAAACUUCCGAUCGUAUUCUCCUUUGAUCUUCCGUUUCUCCGAUUCAACAAGCUGCGAUUUUGUUAUAUCGAACUCCUGCAUACAAUAGAAAAGAUCGCCGCACAGUUAACUUUCCUGUAGAAAGUGUGCUGCAAAAUGUUUUGCAGUUCGAGUUAUUAGAAUUAGAAGUUUAAAUUUGAAAAACAAACGAUUGCGGCAAAAUUGUAGGCUCAUUUAACAAUUUUCUCUCAGUGUGUUUAGGAGGAAAUUAAAGAUAGUGGGGGGGACCUCUUCGGCGGAGAUCAUGAUGUCGUUCGCCUUCUCCUCGGCCUCCCGGAGGAUGAACCGCACCAACUUCUCUAUCUGCUUCGCCACCGCCGCGUCGUCCAUCGCUCUCUAGAUCUCUCUAGAACCCUCUAGAACCCUCUCUAAUUUUGGGGUUUGUUAGGGGGAUCUGAGAGAGAGAGAGAGAGAGAGAGAGAGAGGGGGUGGAAUAGGGGAUUAGCAGUUGCAAUGGCGUGUGGAGAGAGGAAACGGGAGGGAGCUUGGCUUCGGUUUCGCGCGCUCCAGAAGAGGCGCGAAGGGCUUAGGAGGCGUGCUAUUUGUUUACACCCCUAGAACGCGUCCACCACGUCAUCCGUGGGCCGAUUUGUUCUUACUCAUUCGAAUCGAAGCGAUGAAAUAGAGAUCAAAUAUAAUGAACGGCAAAAUAAUUAUAUUUUUUAUUUAGCAAACCCCGCAAUUCCAAACAAACUCUUAUUUAAAUCAACAUGUAAGAUCAUUUACAUAGCGCUGACCGACAGAGGUACGAGGGAUGUACGGAUAAGUAAAAUCUAGAGGCUUCGUAUACCCUUGAAAGUAAAGGUCUUUUGCUCGCUCGCUUUCAAAAAGAGGUUUCAAAUAGUAGAUAGCUUAUUAAAGAGAGGGUGGACCGAUAGCACAGUCUGUAUACUUUGCGGGGUUGAAGAGGAAUCAGUAGACUAUUUACCUAAACAAUGCGUCUUUACUAGAUUUUUAAUGGUGAUGGCUUUAGAGAGUGUACAGCCUGUGGACUUUGGAAACGACGUGAUUAUGGUCUGGAAUAGAUACAAGCUUUGUAAUGGACCAUAGUCUUAUUGCAAUAGAUUGACUUGAUUAAUAGUUUGUUGGUGCGCCACCUGGGAGGUCAGAAAGGGUGUGAUCUUUAGGAAGAUUCAACUGAACCCCCUACUAGCGGUCUUCAAGAUUAAGCAGUUAAAUAAUCUGUGGGGACAAAUUCUCUCAGUAAAACAACACUAACAUUUUAAAGAUUUUUUUUUUCUUUUUUCAUUCUCGUUGCUUGAGGCAGUUCGCUACCUCAUCCAUGUAGCCUAAUUUAUUUAUUUUAUGAAUGAAGCGGGUUGCAUGUUAUCUCUUUCUUACAGAGAUGAAGAGAGAGGGAGAGAGAGAGUUGGGCUUUUCCCUCUCUCUCUCUCUGUCGAAAAAAAAAAAAAAAAAAACGAAAAAAAGAAGGUAAGAUCAUAGCAUAUCUCCGCAUAUAGUAUAGAAUAUGCUAGCGCUCCCUAAAUAGGGGCAUAUGCAAGUGAGUUCAGAAGCAUCUUUCAUUCAUCUGACUCAGAAAUUUUGCAAGGUAAAAAUUAUGGGCAGUUCAUUCAUAGGAUAAAAAAUAACGCUGUUCGAAUUUGAAAUGGACUCGAGUUUUGGAAUCUCGCAUAUUCCCGAGGGAUCUACAUGACAAAUCCGAUCGUAGCCGUCCACGUGGUAUAUGUCGGCACUCCACCGGAGUGGACGGCUAUGAUUUUCUAGAUCGGACGCUCCGGUUCUAUACAGGUGUGGAGCCAUUUCGUCUCGACGUGCCCCGCGCAAAAUUACGAAACUGCCCUCGAUUCGCUUUACUUAUAACUCCCGAGUCCCGGCCUUUAUUUCCUCUGCUGUAGUCCCUGUCCCUCCAUUUCCCGCGUGAGCUCCGUCCAAAACCCUAGCUGCAAAUGGGAGGAGAAGGAUAGAGAGAGAUCAAUCGAUCUCAAAUUCCUCGAGCCUCCAUGGAGUAGGGUUAGCUCCUCUUCCCCUCUCUCUCUCCCCCCGAUGGAUCCCGAUUAGUCUCUAUCUUCGAUGGAAACCCUAGCAAAUCCGGUCCGUGCGAUGGCCGCGGCGGUGGGUUCGGCGGCGCCGAGGGCCCCGCCGUGCGGCGCCAAAACCGCGCGGAGGCCGAGGAUCGUCCGGAUCGUCCUCGCCGACGCCGACGCCACCGACUCCUCGUCGUCCUCCUCGGGCGACGAGGAUGAAGCGGGGAGGAGGCGGCGUCGGGGGGUGAAGCGGAGCGUGCUCGAGGUCACCGCCGGGGCGUCGGAGGCGGUGAGGUUCCGCGGCGUGCGGCGGCGGCCGUGGGGCCGGUGGGCGGCGGAGAUCCGCGACCCGGCGCGGCGGCGGAGGGUGUGGCUGGGGACGUUCGACACGGCGGAGGAGGCCGCCGCCGCCUACGACAGCGCCGCCGUGCGGAUGCGGGGCCCGAGGGCGGUGACCAACUUCCCGGCGACGAUCCCGGCCCCGGAGCUCCCCGCGCCGCCGGAGAAGGGCGGCGGCGCCACCACCUCCUCCGCCACGAUCGGAGAUUCCCAUCCCUAUCCCUCGCCUUUGUCGGUGCUCUGCGACUCGCUGUUUGUAUGUAAGUAAUCGAACGCCUUCUAAUUUAGUUUUUUUCUUUUUUCAAAAAAAAAAAGGGGAUUUUUAGGGGUUUGUGUUGAUCUUCAGUAUUAGAAUUAUGGGAAAAUUUUGGUGAAAAUAUAUGUGUGUUGUGAUUGUAUGAAGAGUGCUUGUGAUUAUGAUUGUGAGAAUGUGGGCUCUGCUCACUGUAGGGUUGUUUUGAUGUUGUAUACUCGUAUUAGUGUUUGUAAUUAGUUACUUAAUGAGGUAGGCUUCGUGUUUUUUUUUUUAAAUUACUUUUGGAAUUUAACAAAGUAGAUUUGCAUGUUAAAAUAUCUUUUGGGAUAAAAUGCAUAAAACACUAUCUAAAAUAUUAGUGCAUUUUAAAAUAAAUAUUUUUAAGUAGCAGAAUAUUUUGUUAAGUUGGUGUAAUCCGGAGUAAUAAGUCGAGAAUGUUAUAAACACUGAAAUAAAAAAAGAAAAAAUUUUAAAUACUAUUCAUGUGGUUUUGUACUUUCUCGCUUUAGUAUAAUGUGGUUUAAAGUUUAUUGCUUUCGUACUCUAUAAUUUUUUUUUUUUGUCUCCUUCAUCAAUUUUUUUCGUUAACUUAGUGAUAAAGUUAAAAUUAAAGAGUACUAAAGUGAAUAUUCGAUAAACUAUAGGGGGAUAUUUGAAGUUUUUUUUGUAUAUGAUUUAACGAAAAAUUAACGAAAAGGCCGACGAAAAGAGAAAAAUGAAACCAUAUGGUACUAAAUUGAUACACUUUAAAUUAUAGAGUACUAAAGUGAAAAAAUAUAAAAUUAUAGAAGUGUUAUUUGAAGUUUAUUCAAUAUAUAUAUAUAUAUAUAUAUAUAAAGGCUCAUCUGGUAUUGGUGUUUUCUUUUUCUUUUUUUUAAUUUUCUCUGGGUGGAUGCAGUUUUCUAUUUUUAUCAUUAUUGAUUAAAUUGUGAUUAUUCUGUUGCAUUAUGUUGCUUUUUUGGAUUUUAAAAGGACAAAAAAGUUACUCAUAUGUUAUUUAAUACAUAAUGAAUUUCAUAAAUGUAUAUAUUACUUGCAAUCUAUCAUAUACAUCACCGUCCACCAAUACAUUGUGAAGAACAAAAAAUAACAAUGGUAUGUCUAUUAAGGAGUUAUAAUUUUGUUUGUUUGUUUUUUUUUUUUUCAAAAUCAGUGGGCUGCGAAAGUUUAAAUCUUCAUAUACCCAUUUUAUAAUGAGAAAUGCUACUUAUACAAUGUAGAAGUUGCGCACAAAUCCGCACCCCCAGCUUAUUGAAAAAUUUAGAUAAUUACUUUGAACUUCUAGCAUUAGAAAAAUAAGGCAGUAAUAAAAUUACUUUUGUUGUUAUUUUUCUUUUCUUUUUUUUCUUUCUUUGAGCUAUAUUUUUUUUUCUCAAGGUCAUGUUGUCUCACUGUUUGUAGCCAAGUUUAUUUUCGAAAUAAAUGAAACGGAUAACGUACUACCUUUUUUCUCCAAAAAAAAAAAAAAAAUUAACAUGAAAAAAUAAGUUUUUGGAUAGGAAGUGCGUAAGAUUUACCCUCACUACUUUUUGAGGGUUUUUGAGGGUACAGAUAGUAUUGUUCUUGCUCUUUUAUGAUAAGCAGUAGUUGAGUAAAAAGGAGUUAAUAUGUGGCACGAUUCAGAUUAUAUGAUUUGGUCACUUUCAUUUGAUUUGAAGGGGCCUUAUUAGGUCUAGUGGCUCAUUGCUAGACUUUUUAAGGUUCUUUCCUUUUUGGGUAAGUAGCACUAUUCUUGUAGAGCAUUUACCCGAAAUUUUCACUCGGGCUCCUUUCCUUAUAUUAGCUCUAGGGUCCAUAAUGUUUAAUGGUUUAUAAUGUUUUCAAGGUUUUUCAUCAAAAAGAAUGUCUACUGGGAUGGAAUUUGGAUUUGGCAACCAGAAAUGCUACACUACAUUUUCUCCAUAUAGAUUUAAUACAGGUUAUGACGAUCUAUGGUUUUAAAAUUUAAAAUUUUAUUACGUAGACAUAAAAAUCAACUAAUUCUAUUUGCAUAGACAUAAAAAUCAACUAAGCGGACACCAUAAUUUUUUUUAAAAAAAUAUUUAAUGGCAAGAAUAGAUAUAAAAAUCAACUAAGUGGACACCAUAAUUUUUUUUAAAAAAAUAUUUAAUGGCGAGAAUAGACAUAAAAAUCAACUAAGUGGACACCACAAUUUUUUUAGAAAAAACAUUUAAUAGCAAGAAAAGUAUUUUUAAAAAAGGAUUUAUUGGCCCAUGCAGGUCUCGAACCUGCGACCUUCGCGUUAUUAGCACGACGCUCUAACCAACUGAGCUAAUAGGCCACUGAUCUUUUAAGAAAAAUUCUUCAUUCAUAAGGCCUAAAACGAUAUGAGACCUAGCCCCAUUUAGAGUUCAAACAGUUUUCUUUUGAUGAAUCUACUUUUGGAUCGUCUCGUUUUUAACUUCAAGAAAUAGAAAUUUUUCAGUUUCACGGAUGGCAAUCCAGUCCAGCUGUUCAUUAUGAAAUGGUCCCCCCGCAAGUAGAAUUGUAGAUCACAAAACAGUCAAUGGCUAUAUUUUACCCUUUUAUGAUUUGUAAGAUAUAGAACGAUAUUAUCCCAUUAGAUAGUAGUCUCUUAAAAAGAAUAGUCUCUUAAAAAGAAUAGCAAGUAGUAAAAUACAACAUUUUAAACCAAACGCAGCGUAUCACAGAGUUCUUAACCACCGUUUGAUUCGGAAUUAAGUAAAAACUUGUUAUUCUGGAUAGAGUUAAGUUUAGGAUUAAGGUAGGGUUAGAAUAAUUUUGUGUUUGGUUGAGAAUUAGAUUUAGUUCAGUUAUAAAUACAAUAGUGUUUGGUUGGAGUAGAUGAGAUAAGAAGGAUAGUGGAUAAAAUAGUAUUUUGUUUGGUUGAAGUAGUGGGGUGGGGUGGGAGAACCCUACCCCCUAAUUGGGUGUUUGGAAAUAAUUUCGGAGUUAAAGGAUUAUUCCACCCCUUAAUUUCGAACCAAACGGGUGCUAAGAGUUCGGUUGGAUGAUAAAAGAUACAAAUAAGAAGAUGACGAAGAACAAUUGAAUGAAAAAUGAAAAAAAGACACGAAAGGAUAAAACUAUGCAUUCAACCAAGUAGUAGGUAUUCAAAAUUUCUGGGGGCAGGCCUAAAUAUUAUGAAGUUCUCUCAGUUAAAUGUUCUGCAUUCAAAUUGUCAUGCCGCAGGGAAACGAAUUGACCAGCAAAGAAUAAGCAAGGAUUGGGAGCAAGAAUUGCCUCGAUGGAAAUGUAUCUUUGGUCACCUUUGAACACCAACAUGAUCCUCAUCAAAAUUUCUUGCGACUUGUUACACCUCCUCAACCUGCAAAUAUUGAAGAAUUCAGUAUGACCAGUAAUUUUUUUACCCUUAAAAAAACUAAAAAGAAAUGUUAGCCGACAUUGUAACCAUUAUAGAAUAUUACGUCAACAAGAAGAUCUUGAAAUAUGUAAUGUACAAACAGUUUUAUCGAACACAGAAAUAUAAGAAAGAAGAAACUGCAUCCGGCCAGACUUCAAACAAGCGUCGGGUUAAAGUUGAGGCUAUUUACAUAUUUUUGGAGACGUAAGUUUACUUUAAAUUGGUUUUGCUCGAACUACAACAAACUACUUAUCGUCGUAGAACCUGUGGAAGGCUCAUUAACUCCAGAACGGCCUUUUUGGGGGUUAACUCAUUGUCGAUGAUGCGUGCAACUGCCGUCAAAACCGGCAUCUUGACAUGGUACCUCUGUGCCAAUGCAAUAACUGCCCCAGCUGUUGACACACCUUCAGCUAUCUAAAGAGGCAUGGGGGAUUAAAACCAUUUUAGUACUAUGUAGAAGCUUUUACAUAUAUAUUGUUGCAAAAUCAUCUAGUCGCAUAUUUGCACCUGUAAAUAGAUAAUUUUGCAGGGGUAUGUACGUGAAGGUGACUAACAAAUAUGGGCAUACAGAAGGAAUAUUAGAAACCUGAUUCAUUGAGCUUAAUAUGUCGUCAAGCUUCUCUCCCGAACCAAGGCGCAACCCAACAGUUCUAUUUCGUGAAAGGUUCACAAAACAUGUGAGCAUAAUAUCACCGGAUCCUGACAAGCCAGUAAGUGUUGUUGGCUUCGCUCCCAUCUUAAUAGAAAAAUGAAAAUCCACAAAAUAAAAAAAAAAAAAAAGAGAGGAAAAGUUAGGUAAUUAUUAGGCAUCCGUUUAGCCAUAGAAUUACAAACUGACCUUUGUUGCCAACCAUCGUAUCUCGGAACAGCCUUGUGCGACAAGGGCAGCCAUGCAGUUAUUUCCAAGGUGCAUGCCUUCUACAAUACCUGCUGCUAUUGCAAGUACAUUCUUAAGCGCACCCGCUAUUUCUACUCCUGUAACAUCACUGAUUUAUCGAAGGUCACAAACCAAACGAUUUCAUACAGGAAAGUGUAGAUACCAAGCAACUAAAACAAUAUGCCAUCGAUGUAGGUACAGAAAGAACAAACUUACAUACUAGAAAUCAGAUAAUCGGCACUACAUACAUAAUAGUACUUUGGUGAUUAGAGAAUUAUUCAAUAAUUGUCGCCUUUGUGCAUUAAAUGCACUAAUUGUUUGACAAUUGAACUUGUUUGAUAGUAAAGAAAAGUUAGACCUACUUGGACAUGAGUUUGUUAAUGCACUUCUUUUCAUGUUUACAUCUCAAAAGAGUGGUGUAUUAAGCUAUAAAAGUAGAAAGUGAAAAAGGAAACACAGUGCAUAAUCUAGUAGUCUUUCUUGCUUUUAACAAAAUCAGUUGAAAAAAAAGGAACUAAUGUUUGGACAUUACAUUCAAUGUUCAACAAUUAUAAUUAGGAAUGAAAGAAAACUUAAAUUGGGUAACGAAAUCGAUGCAUGUGUGUUCUACCAUGACUCAAAGAGAUAAACACAGCAUGAAGAACAAGUAAUUAGACAUAAUUCCCAGGCCAAUUAUACGGACGAAAAUCAAAUCGAUGAAAAAUUGUCACAAGGAAAAAAAAGCAUUUUCAUGUCAUUACAAGCAUAAAGAAAGAAAACAAGAAAGCAUAUCUACCCGGAUGUGUUGAUUCUCAGAUGUGGAGAGGCUAACAAUUGCUGAACAGCACUUGCCAACUUUUUGUCUUUCGAUGCCACCACCAUUGCUGUAAGUUUACAUAUCAUGUAACAGAAGAGUCUCUCAGCUUCUAAAAGAAAUAAACAGCUUCCAUUUGAUAAGUGUAACUUACAACUGGGAGCUCAGGUCACGACUGUGCCCGGGAGGCUUGGGUUUGGAGCAUUUCCCAAAUGCAGAAACUUCCAAAAACUAGGCAUUUGGCUAACAAAAACAAAGGGUAAGAAGCCAUUGCUCCAGCAGGCAGCUGAAACUUUUGAGCCGAAAGUAGAAGCUUCAAUUUGAAGCCUCUGCUUUUACGCGGUGAGAAUCUAUUGAGGGAUUUAAUGGCAAAACUGGUAACGCUUCUUUGGACAGCUGUAGUCAAACAAUACUGCUGCAGAAGGUCCAACUGAGCCAGACUGCCUACCAUAUGACAAAGAAUACAUUAAAUUUCUGAAGUAAUACCUGUUGGUAAUUUAUUCACCAACUCAACUGCAAAAGAGGGUCCUGACAACACACUAAUAGGUUGGCGAGGGUUUCCCAAUGCGUGCGGUAUGAUUUGAGACAUCAUCCUUAAAGUGUUAAGCUCCAAUCCUUUGCUAAGAGAUAUGAAUGGCAACUUUGGGUCAACAUGUUGUGAAAUGCCUUCAAGAAAGGGUGAACUGAACUGCCAUUAAAUCAAUGAGGUUGGUAGACUUAUUCAAGUUCACAAAAUGCCUGAAUUUCACUAGAAUUUGUAUAAUUCAGUAGUGGCUAGUUAGCAAUGGGGCAUUUAUAAUCGCUUAUUAUGUGAGUGAGAACUAAGAUUACCUGCACCGGAACAGCAUGUAAGCAAAAAUCAGCUCCUGCUAAAGCAUCCUUUGCAUUAGUUGUUGCAACAAUAUUCUCCGGCAGCUUGUGUUGUGGAAAGUACUUGCUGUAGUAGAAUGUAUUAAUGGAAAAAUUUAAAGUUCCUUAGAGUCAUCUAAAAAACAGAACAAAUUUCUCAAGAAUUUUCUACAUACUAUUUAUUGAGUCUUUGUAGAGGUCCAACAUAUCUUCUUCUUCAACUAUGUAUUGAGUUCACAAAAUGCAAUUGAACAAAAUAGAAGAAAGAUCUUCAUUUGUCGUUUAAUUAAAUCCUAUUAUGUAGGUGACCGCCUAGUUGCCUAAACUUGCAUCUAAUCUAUAGAAAGAGUAAUAGGUUAGGAUUGCCUACGCUACAUAAUUCUUAUGAUUCUAGUCAUCCCAAGCAAUUUAAGCAAACUACAAAGUUAGCGGGUUAUAAUGUCAAAAUACAGCUAGUAUCUACACAUUCAAAUAUGAACAAGAACACAUUAGUAUGCAUACACAUAUUGAUAAUUUUUGUCACCAGAUGUUUAAAACCUCUCACCAGUUGAAGUGAUUUUCGUUGAUGGCUCGGCAAAUGUGAGCAUCCCUAACAAGCAUGGAGACUUCCAUUUCUGCUUUCUUGCUUGCGACAUGUGCUGCCAUUGCCGUCCCGAAAGAUCCGCCACCAAGAACCACAACCUAAUUCGACCACAAUCAGCGUUAUCAUCGCAAAAUUACAAAUAAAAUGAAAUCAAAUCAAAUCAAAUCAAAGGGGUCAAUUGCAUUUCAGUCCUCGACCACUUUGCACGGCUUCAGCUUAGUUCUCAACCUAAAUUUCUUACAAUUAGUCAUUCAGUUGAGUUCCACCGUUAAAUUGCUGCAAUGUUAAUGAUAUAAUAUCGCCCAUUUCAAUAGAAAAAUCAAAGCGGGAUUAAAAAUUAGAGAUCAAAAUGUAAAAUUCUAGAUGAUGUCGUUCUCGAACAAAAAUUGCACUGAACAAAAAUGAGGAUUAAAAAAAAGAAAAAGAAAAAAGAGGGGCAAAUGAGGGGUGACAUCAAUGGAAAGAGAGCGAGCACCUUCCUGGUCCUCUCGAGGACAUCGCUGUUGUUCUUGGAGCGCCACGACCGAGACCAGCGCACGAGCUUCUCCCACGCGAUCCGCACCGCCCUACGCCGGUCCCAUCCGCCGCCCUCCUUGGCCCCCGCCGCCGCACCGGAACUCGCGCUAGGGUUAGGGUUCUCCUCCGACGCGGGAUCGGCGUCGAGGGUUCCGGCGGAGCAGGGGCAACGGGGCGGGCUUGUGGGGGAGGCGACGGAGAAGGGAGAGAAGGGUUUAGGGCGAAGCCUUAUCCGUAGGGUUCGGGUGUCGGGAGAGGAGAGGAGGGGGAGGUGGCGGCGGCGAGGGUUUGGAGAAGGGGAGAGUGGGGAGAUGAGCGAAGAGGAGGACGGAGAAGGAGAAGGGUCGGCGAGAAGAGUCGCCAUUGUUGUGAGAGCGGAACCUUCUAUCGAGGUCGAGGAGAGAACGAGGGUGUGUGUAUGUGUGCGCGCGCGCGUGCGUGUGUUGGGGGCGAGUUUUAUCCGUUUCGUGCGCGCGCGCGCGCUCUCCCUCUCCUCAGCGGGUCGGAUUGGGGAGUGAGGGACGGGUUAGUGAGUGGAUCCGAGAGCAUACAAACCCGACCCGACCCGAUCCUUCUCCCGUUUCACCCCUCGCCACAAAUUCGCAAACUGAAUCCGCUUCUGGGGGGCUCUCUUCGUUUUUGGCUUGGGCUCCUCGUUUCCAAGGUAACGUGGAAGCUUCAAAUUUUCCCCUCUUCAUGCUAUUCGCAUUUCUUUCCCAUUCAGAGAAUUUGAUCUAGGGUUCCUAAUUUUGCUCUCACCUUUGCUACCUAUACUUACAUUUUCAGUGCUAAAUUUUGCUCGGCAAUACGAUUUGAAACAUCUGUUACGUCAGGAUUGUGGCGAUUAAGCCCCUAAUUUUUCCAAUUUCUCUUUUUACUUGGUUGCGGUUCAAAAGGAAUUAAAGGAUUUUGAUCCCCAGUUGAGAAAUUUGGUUUCUUUUGCCAAUUUUUGUACCCCAAAAGUAGAUGUUUUCGGGGCUUCACAUCAAAAACGAAACUUGCUUUUGAUAUGAUUAAGAAUUUUGAGCUUUAAUAUGAAUGUAGUUCCUCUUUGCCUUUUGUUGUAUUAUAUUACUUGUAUUAAUUUAUAUUGCCAAUUUAUCUGAGCUUAAAUCCAGAAAAGAAGCUUCCUUUGAUCUGAGUAAUAAUCUUGACCUCCAAUUUUGAACUUCUGUUAUCUAUUUUUCUUUCUUUUUUUUUUGUACUGAAAAGAAAAACUCUUUUUUCCUCUUUUUGUUCUUUUCUCUUUUGGCCCUACAAAUAGAUAGAUCAUUUUCAAUUUUUCUUUUAAAAUUUUUCAUGCUUCAUUGUCUGAAUCUAAUAUGUUAAUCUCCUUUCAGCAACAUGGGCCACCACCACCACCACUACGGCCACCAUCACGGCCACCACCACUGCCAUGAGAGUGAUAGCCCGUUCGACGACCCCCUUCUUGGCCUGCUGCUGCUGCCCCUGCGUUCUGGUAACUUCCAUUUUUAAGGGUAUCGAACGAUGUGUCUUUGCCACUUGCUACCCUUUUCUCCGAUGCUUUGGCUGGGACGAACAUAGUCAUCACCACCACCACCACCAUAACUACCAUAGCCAUUUCGCUUAAAUAAGUUCUCAGUUUAUUUUACAUCGCCAUUUAUAUUAGCGACGAAUGAUAUUUACUACUUGGCUUGUGAGACAUUUUGUCGGUAACAACCGUUUAUAAUGGGAAUCCGAUGAGCUACUCAAAGUUUGAAGGCUCCAUGUAUAUGUUAGUAAUUGGUAUUAAGUGCCGUGUAGUUCUUUUGGGUUCAAAUGAUAAUUGAAUACGGCAUUACUAGUGCCAUGAAAAUCAGUUUAGUGAUUUUGCUACAAUUGCUUCGUUUUGCAAUUUACUUUAGGAUUGCUCUCUGUUAUGUCGCUUGCAGUGUUCUUCUCGAAUAUUGAGUAUGUCUGUAAAGAUGGACAGUUCGAUUAGCUAAUGUGUUAUCAGUCAUCGAUAAGAAGAAGCGAUUUGUGGUAUAUAAUUUUUAGGAAUGCUGUUGGAAUUUAACAAGUUACAUGAUGUGCGAUAUAAAUUAUGCUGUUGUGUGUUAUUUACGUCUUCCGGUUUCUUGGUAUGAUGAUAAAAGUGGUGCGUAGUUAGAAUUCCAUGCCAUGAAUUGCUAGAACUCUCUGAACAAAACACUUCGAUUUCCCAAUUGAUAUUCUUAGAAACCUCUUAUCGAUGCUUUUUAAUUAAUGUUACUGUAAACAUCUUACCCAUACAGUAACUUCUCGAAAUAGAACGUGUUUAGAGACCUCUUAGCCAUGACUAGAUACCUUUGGAGUUCGCUUCUUAUAUUCUUAUUUUUCACUUGAUAGCCGAACGAAGUUAGAGAGAAACCAGCAACUUUGAUAUAGAAUUUAUAUGAUCUUCUUGAUUCUCCUUUCCAAUAACUAAAUAACUAAUGUUUCUAUAUAAAUAGGAGGAUAUCUUUGAUAAUUAUGACCAUGCAUCCAAAAACUCAUAUCUCAAUUAUAAAGAUAAGAGUCCAAAAGAAAGAAGGAAAAAAGAUAAAGGAAAAACACCACAAAAACACAGAGGAGAGCUCAAUCAUUUAUGGAAACAGGUAACUCAUAUUCAUAUAAUAGUGUAACACUACUACAAAACCCAAAUAUCAUCAAAGACAUUAUGGGAUACAUCACAACAGUAUCAGAGGACAGAUACACUAACUACACAUAUAUGGGUGUAAGAGAGAGAGCCCGUCCUCACACCCACAUAUGUGAACUCAAUGGUGUUCAGCAGAAGCUCCCACCUUUAUUCUUCACUUCACUUUAUUAUUAUAUACCUCCCUACUCUCACACGCACUCCCGGGAGGUCGAAGCGAGUCAUUUUAGUGAACCCUGCACAUAAAAGAAUCAAAAAAGGAGAAAAGGAAUAUUAUUGUCAAUCAAAUUUAAGUAGUUAAUUUAGAGGUGGCAGUACAGCUUCAUUUUCGAGUUUCUGCUUGUGAGGUCUAAAAGCUCAUUUCAUCGUCCUCCUCAAAUCAAGCCACAGGUCUACUUCUUGCGUAAAAGAGCUCUUCACAAAGCUAGUCUGAGUAGUCAUUAAGCACUCGUUUGACUCUAUGGAGGCUUUCAUUCAAGUACUGUUUAAGAAGAGCUUCCUAAAGUAUUAAUAGCUUUCUCCUUAAAAUCUUCUUCCGAGUUUUUUAUCUUUUCCACUCAGAAGCUUAUUUUAACUUUCUACUGUAGAAAAAGCUUAUUUUAAUUUUCUGUCGUAGAAAGAACUUUCGACGUAUUCCUUGAAAUCUCCUAUGGAGGUUGUUUUUUUUUGUACGAAAUUGCAUUAUUGAUGCAAUUUUAUGUCGUUUUCAAAGAUCUGAUGGUGAUCUCAAAUUGCGCUGAAGUUAAGUAUAUAUGUAGAACUUCUCUUUCGCUUGUUAUGCGGCUUACUUGCUGCAGUCGGUGGAGGUGCUGAUGGUGUAUGGGACGCUGACGCCGCACGCGCUGGGGAUGGAAGAGAUAGCACCAGGCUUGAGGCCGCUGACGCUCGCAGCCUCCUGCUUCAGGCAGUUGCACGCCGCCUGUCGGUCCGCCGUGCUCUGCGCGGCAGCAUUCAGGCUGCGCACGCCGCUGCAGCAACCUGCUGGCGGCGUCCCCGUCCCCGAGCGUGCGUACGCAAUGCACUGGGAAAGGAGCGACGACACCUGGCCGCAGGUGAUCGCCGCCUCUGUGCCGGAAAUGACGACGGUGGAGGCCACGAGGGCCAGGAGGAGGGUAGCUGCGACGCGGGCCAUUUGAUUUGCAGGUUAGCGGGUGUAUGUGGAAUUUAGCUCAGUUGGAAUGAGAGUAGGAAGUGGUAGGAAGUGAUGCUGGGAAUGGUUAUGUGUAGGGAGUAUUUAUAGAACUUCUAAGGGUGCUUUGCUUUGCUUUUGUGUGUGUGUGUGUGUGUGUGUGUGUGUGUGUGUGUGUGAGAGAGAGAGAGAGAGAGAGAGAGAGAGAGAGAGUUAGUUGGGGGUUGGGACCAGGAGAAGGGGGGAAUGAGAUCUUAGGAAGGAGCAUUUAUUUGGGUGGUUGCAUUUGCUUGAUUGGGUGGGGGUCAUUUAGUAGUACGGAAAAUAGUGCUUCGUAGAGGAUACAAGAGAGGACAAACUACACAUGAUGGAUACAUGCAUCGAUUUGGUUAGUAAAGUGAGCAAAUAAGAAGAUAAAAUGGAAGUUACCAGCGUUGAAAAAGAGUGUUGAGUAUUACAAAGGUUCUUGGUUAUCUUGCUACUUGUGGUUAAAUCUCUCUUUCCUAUUAUUUUGAAUGUAGAGUCGAGAACGAAAGAUCAAAGAGGAGUGAAGAUCUACAUUACAACGUUAUGAACUCGAAUUUGAGACUGUUUGAUAGUAGCAUCCGCUUUAAUCUGCCACGUCCCGAAAUUUCUGUUUAAGUUUAAAACCGAUGCGGAAGUGUCCAAAAAUUUAUUUAUUUAUUUUUUUUGAAAGUCUUGACCGCAGAGGACGUCAAAUUCGUCACAAAUACAGUGAAUCUACUGUUUACACGGACAGAAUCUUUUCUGUAUUUGCACGACGUUGUACAAGUACAAGAUACAACCACACAGUAUAAUAACCCACAUACAAUCACCACAUCAUAUAUACCAUUCACAUUUAUUCCAUCAUCAGUUUAUCAUAAAUUCACAUUUAUUAGUUUAAAACGUUUUCAAUUCGGAAACAUAUAUUGAAAUACUAAAAAUUAUGAAAACGAUUUUCUACCUUUCGUGGUAACGUAUUUUUUUUUAAAAAAAAUUUCUUGUGGAAAACGGUCUUCGUACAAAAAUUCGCGUACAUACUGAGAGUAAAGAGUGCAGAAGAACUGUUCAACAAUAAUAAAUGGUGUAGUUAAUGGCGAGAAGAAAUGACAUGUACAGGAAACAGAACGGGGAAUGGGAAUUUCAUGCUUUAAUUUGCUCCGGUUAUAAAUCAUCUAGUCAUGUGGUAUUUAAUUUGUAAAGUAAAAUGCAGCAGGGUAUCUUGUUCUGGUACUUAGGGAGUAACUAUUUUAAUGUACCGCUUCUGAAAAUUCUAAUCUUUAUGCGUAUUAGCCAAAUCACAAAUGUGCAGGGAAAAUUAGGUGGGUGUCGGACAUUAUUGUGAUUGUAGAACCAUACCAGAUCAAAGUGUUCCUGAAUCAAAGGGAUAGAGAAAGUUGUGUGAUUUGGAAGAGGUUAAUUGGUUUGUCAAUUAAGCAAGUACUUGCAAAUAGAUCUUAUUCAGAGAAAUAUUAAUUUUUGUAGAAACUCUGACGAGCUAAACAAGAGUUUAGUUCAUCCAAACUAACACUAUUCACCCAUUCAAAACUUGCUAGUCACUUAUUAGGGAGGAAUAAGUUUAGACUCUAGCUCAGAUGAAGAGCUAGCGCACUAAUCUAUACCUGUACAUUACUCCCCAUGACUAAAUCCUACAUGUAUCCACCCCCUUAAUUUGAGGAGAAGUGGGGCCUAGCUGUUUUUUUUUUUUUUUUUUUUUUUUUUUUUUUUUUUUUCUUUAGAUUUAUUAAGGCCUAAAAAGUUUUUUUUUUUAUUCUUUUUCUUCACCUUUUGACCUUCCACCAUCUUUCUUAAAUUUGCAAAUUCGAACCUUUGUUGUGUUUCGUAUUAUUGUGAGCCUUUCUUUAGUCAUAUCCUUAUCUUUACCUUCUGAUCUUCCACCCUCUUUCUUAAAUUUGCAAAUUCGAAUCUUUAUUGUGUUUCGUAUUAUUGUGAUGAGCCUUUCUUUAGUCGUAUUAACUACAAUAUGAUAGUUUUUUUAUUAUUGUGUUAUAAAAAUAAUUUUAAUCAUCCAUUUGCAUGAUAUGCGACAUCUUUUGAACAAAAUUGAAUAAUUUUGUUGGAACGAUUGAUUCUUUUUCAUUAUAGUUUUUUGUUAAAAAAAGUAUUUGUCUAUAAUAUGGACUAUAUUUAUUAAUUUUUAUACUAAACUGAUAUUUUAUUUUUUAUAAAUUUUCACUUUAACAGUAUCUACCCGCCGCCGUAACACGCGGGUCACUACACUAGUAAAAUUAAUAUAUUUAUCGCUAAUUUCAUUUACAUUGUGAUUUAGGAACAAUUUAGCUCUUCAAGACACUACUUACUCCCUAGUCCUAUGUAAGUAGUAUUGAGGCGCUACUACUUCAAUCAUGGUUUGACCAUUGUAAUGUGAACGUUAUUAAGAUGGAGAGUUUCACGGGUCUUAAAAGUUUGAUGGUCCACUAUAUAUACUAUUAGGCUCUGAAAAAGUCUAAAAAAUAGGAGUUGUAAAUUGAUCAUGUUGUUCUAUAUAUUCCCAUCUCCAUUACUUCCAUCAACUCUUUUUCUCCCAUCCACCUUGAUUACAAGUGAGCUUAAAUGCAUUGAGGGAGGACGUAAUCCUCCCCCUCCCAACUGCAUCACAUUAAUAAGCCGGGCCUCUCUCCCUUUGCUUUUGUGGUCGUUGUCUCAAAUUUAAUGCUUGAUGUUCCUCUCUAAUUUUGAUUGCCCAACCUCUAGGAUAAUUUUAAAGAGCGAGGCUACUAUGCUAUCAGAAGCACGGAGCCUUCCGUGCUUCCAGCUCGUUUUCGAUGUUGCGACUUUCGAAUCGUCGAUCGGCUCCGUUAAACUUGAUCUAGAGUAUUUGGAGUACCUAGAAAAUAAAUUUUAUUAUUUUUCGAUAUCAUUUGCCUAGUGAUCGAAUGAGCUCAAAAUCAACAAAUUUCAAUGGCCGUAGUGAGCCGUUUGCAAGUUUAACGAUGUAGAAAUAUCCAAAUCACGUGAAAUUUUAAUAGAAAAUUCUUUAUACUAUAUAAAACAAGAUCAAUAUCUUUGAUUUAAAAUUUUAAUGUCAUACUAUUACAUUUUGUAAGAUUUUUAUUUUCAGCCGUUGAUUUUGAGCCCCUUCGUUCACUAGGCAAAUGAUAUCGUAAAAUCAUAAAAUUUAUUUUCUAUAUACUUCAAAUACUCUAGAUCAAGUUUAACGGAGCCGAUCGACAAUUCGAAAGUCGCAACAUCGAAAACGAGCUGGAAGCACAGAAGGCUCCGUGCUUUCGAUAGCAUAGUAGCCUCACUCUAAUUUUAAAUGGCUCCUUCCUUACGUGUUAAGGAGUCUUAGGUCAUUGUAAUGCGAAAAUCGCGAUUCGUUGUGCCCCUUAAAUACGGGAUACUGUAUAGAUCAGUUCACUUUACUUCGGAAUCGAUGUAAUUAUCUAUGUAGUGUGGUUGGAGAUGUAUGCAGUUGUAAAUACAUGCAUCAUGUUUAGUUAGAUGUAGUAAAAAAUAUUGUAACUAUAAAUAAUUUGUUUAGUUGCAUGCAGUUGAGAAAUAAUUUUUAAAAUUUUAUCAUUUUAUAUAUAUGAUGAUAAAAUUACCUUUAAUAAAUAAAAAAAUAUUUUUUUUAUUUAAAAAAUAAUUAAAAAGGUAAGUAUAUCUUUUAUUUAAAGCUACUCCUCCAACUAUUAUUGCAGUUGAAACUGCGGUCAAUUUAGACGUAGUUCAAAUUACUGUAGCUGGGUCUCUUUCUGUAGUUUUUACUAUAAAAAUUAUAGUAAAAUACAUCAAAUCAAAUAUCGAAUUUAUAUUUACAUAUAAUUAUAACUAUAUACAAUCAAAUGAUCAUUUAUUGUAGACGCUCCAGAACCGAUAUUUUAUAUUAUUUUCGAGAAGAAUAUAAAAGAAAGUUAAAUUUUCAUUCGGAUGGCACCCACUGCUAUUUAAUUUGAAUAUAUGUUAUGAGCCGAACGAGUGUAUCCUCGUUGACUGCGACCAACACACGUGUACAGUACAUGAUUGCACGAAGAAAGGGAGGAGCCGUCCACGUGGAUGGUGUGCAAUCAAGUUAUGAUAAUUAGAAUGCAACGGAUAUACGGGCCGCGUGGCGUAACAAGUUAAUUAAAUAUUUUUUAAAAAAAUAUAUAUUUUAUUAUAAUAAUAAAAAAUUAUUUUUAUUGUACUUUUAUUUGAAAAGAAGAAAUAUGAUUGACCUGUUAUUGAUAAUGGGUGCAAAUGUGACAAUAUAGAAUUUUUAAAAAAGUGCACACUGUACUAUAGUAGCGAGGAUGCAGUGUUGCUUUAGGAUUCGUGCUGGGACCAUACCAUGCAAUAUCUACAUCAAUCACAUCGGGACCGUUGGCCGUCACUUUGACUACAAGGAUCGACGUCCGAGCAUGAUAAAUGCUCAGAUGCUGCAUCAUGUACCGCAGGUGUCUUUCCCAGCACAAAUUUUAGAAUGCGUAAGUUGUAUCGGUGAGGUUGCAUUCCCAACUAAUUAAAUAAAAUUUUUAAAAUUAAUUUAUUAUAUUAUAAUUAUUCAAAAUAUUUUUAUUAUAUUUUUUUUAAACAAAAAUAUGAUCAACUUUUUAUUAUUGGUGUGGUGUAAGUGUGACACAGUAAACAUUCUCUUUUCAAAAAACUUCUCAACCCUCACCCAAAAAAAAAAAAAAAAAAGUUUUCUAAUAAUCACGACUCUUUUUGUCUAUAUAUUUGGCUUAUGCUUUAAGUCAAAAACAGUUUUACUAAAAUGACGUUUCUCGAUUUUAAUAAUGUGACCAGCUUCACUAACUAUAUUGAAAAAAAAAAAAAAUUGGCAUGAUCUCUAAAAUCACCAAUUUGAAGCUUCUACGUACGUACCCACACUAACAGGGAAACUUAUUAUGAUGGAUUUUAAAUUAAACUAAAAUAAUGUGUUCUGAAAUGACACUACUGUUUUACAAAAACUUCAACCCCGAAACAUAUAGUUGUUUGGUGAAAUAAAAUGUUUAGAGCUUGCAUGAAAGGAUUAUGGGCUUCUUAUAUAUUAUUAGAGAAGCAAAAGCUCUAAAAGAGGAUUCUUCGACUACUAUGAAAGGUAUUAACUCUUCAAGAGAAACCUAAUACGAAUAUGAAGAGACUAAUAUAAGAUUGAUAUUUAUAUACCUGGGAUGUUUUUUUUUUCUAGAGAUAUAGGUAGUACGUUACCCGUUUCGUUUAUUUCAUUUAGAAAUAAACUUAGCUGGAAAUAUAAAUCAACCAGAAUUCGAACUUAGUACCUCGGAUAUCAACCAGUAAAUACUCUGCCAUUUACUCUAAGGACGAUCGGUAUAUACCUGGAAUGUUACUGCAUGCAAAAGGUUGGGAGUUUUAACUCUUGCAUGUAUGUUUCAAAAUUAAUGUGGGAGAUUUGAGUCCCGAUUUUCAGAGACCCACAUUCCAACUAUAAUAUAAUUUUGCAAUGUUUUUGAGAUAAAAUAUUCCUACAAUCAGAUAAACUUUAGUGCUUUUUUCGAUCAUUGCGCUUAAACAGAAAGUAACAAAAAAAAAAAAAAAAGAAAUUUGUGCAGGGCAAACAAUCACCUAGUUUUUUUGUCCAUAAUUAUCUAGAACGAUAAAGAAUAGAACACGUCCGUGUGUGUGUGUGUGUGUGUGUGUGUGCAUAGAAGGGACGGUUGAGUUGUCCCUCUCACGCAUUAUUGAGAGGAAAAGUAGACAAACUGAUCAGUUUUUGUCAACACCAGAGCAUGCAACAACGAGCUGCUUUAUUAUAUUAUGAUUAUUGUUUUUAUGCUCCCAUUGUGGUCCUUUUUAUUGUGUACUCUCUUUAGAAUUCAUCCCCCCUCUUUUUCUUUUUGGCUCUUAUUUUUCUAUGCUUUUUUUUUUUUCCUUUGUUUUCUUCAAAUGUAUAUCAGUAUAUGUCUCUCUAAAAAAAAAAAAAACACUUUAAUUGUAUGCCAAUGAUUUCCAUGUGAUUUCUCUUGUUAUCCCAAACACGGUUAAGAGAAAAAGAAAAAAAAAUGUCGCGUAACGAAUCUAAUGACAUGACCUACUAGAAAUAAUAACUCGUUGGGUCAAAAAUAUUUAAACUCAGUUAUUAUUAGUAGUGUAUUUGUUACUUAUAAAGUCAUCAUACUUUUUCACAUUAUCUAAUGUGAGAUUAUUAAAGUAUCAUAUAUUUUUCUUGUUUAGACUCACGUUCUCGUCAGCCCGACCCAAUCAAACAGAUAGUCCCAAAUACACGAGACGAUAUGAGAUAUAUCUCACACUUUCUACUGGCUGUCAGAUUUUAGUACUAAAUGUAGCAACUGGACUCACUAAUAAUAAUAACUUACUGGGUCACAACCACCACCAGCCCAAAAUAUUUAAAUUCAGCUAUUAUAACUAGUGUGUAUAAACCAAUCACACCCUUCUACAUAAUUUGUUGUGGGACUAUUAAAAUGUCACACGGUGUCCCAAGUGUAGCAUAUUUGUAGUCACUAGCCUCUGGAGUUUCAAGCUCUGAAACCAAUAGAAUGAGUGUUGUUUGCUUCAAAUAGUCCCAAAACAUGCAGUUUCUUCCAUUUCACUAUAACAUUAAUAGAAAAGGCACUUCAUGUUUGAGAAUAAUAUUUUUUUUUCUGGGCUUAUCACACGCACUAGGGGGUUGCCAACCCAACUUUUCUAUUCAUUGGAAAUCGUACUCUUUUCUUUAGGUUAUUCAGCUAAAUUGCACAAAAUAGUUUCUGUAAUCAACACAUAAAAGCCCAAGAACCGCCAGAUGGCAGUUAAGAAAAUACAGUUGCAGGAAUUGAAUGCUUUGGGACCGACCUGGAACCGUGCAAUGGUGACUAUUUUGAGCUCACGGUAAAUUUCCAACUAAAAGUGAUUAGUAGCAUCUAAACAUCCUAUCACCACUGAUAUAGAACAAGGAAUUCACACUAAUGCAAAACAGUGUGUUACUUACACUUGUAUCAGUGGAUCCUUCACACUUACAAUGUUAGUUGAGAGAGAGAGAGAGAGAGAGAGAUGCGAAAUUCCAUUAAACCCAACUGCAUGUUACCUGCAGGGAUAGUAAGAAGACAUUUCCAAAAACCAAAAGAAACAAAGGUUAUGCUAGUCGGAUCAGGAAUUAAUUAUAUAUAUAAUAUAGCAUAUGUAAUUUGUAUUCUUGUUUGCUUUAGUAUCAUCCCUUACUCUGUUACAUGUGGCCUAUUAGUGCUACUUAUACAGUAAUAGACAUUUGUGGCCUUACAGUAAAUUAUGUCCUACCAUUGGUUGCCCUCUUCGCGGCAAAGAGCUGUCGAAGGAAAGAGCGCUUGCCACUCCGCGCAUUGGAUGUGGCUGUAAUGGUGCCCCUACUGCUCGUUGGAACGGCUUUAGCUUCUUGAUUGGUGUUGGCUUCUCGGUCGGGUAACGGCGGGGGCAGAGUGAAAAGGAAGGUGUUUAGCAUGCGAAUGAUCUGGCCGAAGUUCGGCCGCAUGUUGGGGUCCUCGACCCAGCACGACUGCACGAUGAACACGAGCUCAGGGGGUGUGUCGUCCGGAAAAGGGGGCCGCAUUUGCUUUUUGAUUUCAAGAAAAAAACAAAGAAAGAGAGCUCAAAUCAGUAAAAUACAUUUCCAAUUCUCAUCGGCGGCAAUAGAGAUAUCUAAUAAGUAACUUUAAAAGGCCUGUUUCGCCCAGCUACAGCUUCUAUGGAAGUACUGUUUGAGGAAGGAACUAAGAGCCAAAUUGGCUUUGGGGCCUAGAAGCCCAUUUGAACUUUUCAUCGCAACAGAAGUUCGUUGCUGCAUGCGCCAAAUGUCCUACUCUCCGGAAGUAGAGAAGCUGCUAAACAAGUUGAGCCAAACAGGCACAAGAUGUAGAUGAUCGUAAGUAACAUAAGGUGCAAAGAAUCAUAUUUCAACAAAAUGAAGUACAUUUUCUAUAAGGCUAAACCCCCAAUGCGAUAGCAAACCAUACUACACUAUGUGUGCUUGUAAGUUAUGCAUUCUAAGCUUGACAAAAGAAGAAGCACAAAUGAACUUCAAAGAAGAAGUAUGCACGAGACACGAAUGCUGUUAAGCUGAACGCAGCAUAGAAGAACACAGCAUCAGCAUUUUUCAGAAUAAUGAGCAUUUAGUAGCCAUGAUUAGAAGCAGUCACCAGUUUGCUUCACCUUUUAGUUUACAAUUUUACCAAAAUGCAAUAACUAGUGACCAUCUUAAACCAAUCGUUUGUUGCUGCCAUUUAUAGGAUGAUAACCACUACAAUGAUCUAGAUCAUGUCAACAGAAAGUAGGAAAAUAGGGUUUAGGGUUUGGGGCUUAGGUAAUUGAAAGCUUAUCCUCACCUUGAAAGCAGCAGCAUAUGCAGCCUGAAGGUUGGACAUGCCUUCAAAUGGCAUUUUGUUGGUCAGCAACUCCCAUAAAACAAUACCAAAGCUGUACACAUCAACCUUGUUCGUGUAAUGCUUCUUCUCACCGUGUCGCAGAGUUACAGUGCUGUACAACUGUAAUUUCAGUAGAUUUUAGAUUAUUAGCAGGGGCUUACGGCCAAAAAUCAAACCAUUUAAGAACAAGAAAUUGAAACUAUCUUUUAUAAAGAACACGGUCGUGAUAGCAACACAUGGCUUCCUAGAGAGAUUAGAGGAAAGAAAUAUAGCCUGUGGAUCACAAAGUUGACAUACAAUGUGCUUACAAGCGAUAUUUUAAUGUGUUUGGACUUUGAUUCAUUCUACUGACAUUAAAGACGAAAACCAAACUAAAGUACAGUGAAAAGAGGCUUUCACAUAUGUCCCUGCAAAAUUAAUUAAAUAUAUACCUCGGUAAACUCCGAAUCUCAAAAGUGCAGACUCUUGCAAAAAUACACUUAUCUCAAAUUGGGGAGUUAUCUAAUUCAUGGAAAAAGUUGGUUUUUUAUUAGAUAAAAUUUAUUGAAGAGAAGCAUUUCUGCAAGUACAGGGGUACAUAUGUAUGAAAGUUACUGAAGGAUGUGAAAUUUCAGAUAUUGUCAGGAUAUAGCAAACAGCUGAUUUUGCAGGGACAUUUAUGUAAAUAUCUCUAAAGAGAUUACUGACGCAUCACCUCUGGAGCCAUCCAUCGGUAAGUUCCAGUUUCAGCUGUCAUCAUCUCUGUUACAGUUUCUUCUCUAGCAAGCCCAAAAUCAACAAGCUUUACAUUUUUCUGAUUUGCAGUAAGCAACAAAUUGUCUGCACAUUUGAACUACCUUUGAUCAGUGACAUUCUAGGCAGUAAUACAUAAUUUGUUCAUAAGUCUAUCUGAAUACACAUAUGCAAUUAUGCAUUUAAUAGCAAGAAAAAACAAGGGAAAAAAGGGGGCAUCACUAGGUUUUAGGAGUAAAAAACAAUGAUAAAAUCAAGUUUGGUAUUACAAGUCUUUAAACAGACUUAUGCACCAAGAAAGUACUUAACGUAAAAUGUCUGGAUAUUAACUGGGUUAGUCUAAGGUGCCACUAGUUUCAAAAUACAAAAGUACUGCUGUGAUGCUUUAGACUAUCUAAGGAAAGUGUCACUAGAUUUUUUCUGCCUGCUGAGUCAAGAAAUAGAACGAGAAAUAGUGAAAUUAACAAACAAGUAAAUGCUCUCCAUAUUCCAAUUAAACAAAAUAGUGUUAUAACAAAUUAUAGAGAAUAGAAUACCAGAAGCAUGAAGUGCAUGCAACUUAUGUUUUUGCCUCUACGAGGCAUAAUCCUCCAAAUAAGUCAUAAAAUCUCGCAAAUAAGACUAAUCACACUAUUUCACAUGUAUAUUAAUGGUCGAAAAAAGAGAGAGCAAUCUUUAUGUGCUUUCUACAUUUUUAUCAUAUUUUUCAUAUUUAUAACUAAGAAAUCUUAACAUGAAAGAAAUACAGCAAUUUAUGCAAAAUCGCUCGCACUUUGAUAUGUUAACAUGUCAUAAAACUUAAGGAAUCUAGGUCUGUCCAAGUCUCUAUAAUUCUACUGGUAUUUAAGAAUCUUUCAAGACCCUCAACACUAAGCAUGCUGAAGUUAAAACUAAAUGAUAAAUGUCUUGUGAUUAAGGGAGAAAAAAAAGGGAAAAAAAAGAAAAAAGAAAAGAGAGAUGAUAAGCACCAGGUUUCAAGUCUCUGUGUAUUAUCCCAUUAGCAUGUAGGCACUCCAUUGCAUGAGCAAUGUCAAGUGCAAAAUUUAUUGCUGUGCGAAGAUCCAGUAUUCCGGGCUGCAUACUGCUUAAAUAUUUCUUUAACGACGUUCCUGGCAGUAGUUCACUGGCAAUCACCAUGAUUGGGUCCUUGCAGGCUCCAAUAAACUUCAUAAAAAAAGUAAUAUGAGUAUAAACUAGACUAAAUCUCUGGAGAAAUAUUAAAGCACUAAAACGAAGAAUCAAAUCAACUAAGAAAACAUGUUGCUCAGUGAACAGGAGCCAAUAAAUGAUGAAUUCAAGUUACAAAGCUGAGAAUACACCUUGACGAGGUUCUCAUGUUUCACUCUAGACAUCAUAGUUACUUCUCGAACAAAGCGAGCUUCAAGUGUAGCCCUUUCUUCAGGAGUAUCGCCACCAUUCAAAACUUUUAUUGCUACGAUUUGCUCGCCAUACCUGAUUGAAAUAAUAUCUAACGAGUAAAGACAAUUAUCUGCUGCUAAUCAUAAAAAUCUGAGCAAGUAAUUCUUUCUCAAGAAUAUUUUCAAUUUGAAUUUAAAACUAUGAUGAGUGCAAAAUAAGAUGCAUUUUCAGUUCAUAUGAAGCUCAAAUAAAUAUAGGGACACAGAUGACAGAUCAUUAAUGAAUAAAAUGUUGGUUAUGUGCUACUACAGUUUCUAUUCUUAAAAAAAAUCAUACGCAAAUAUGUCUGUUUUCCGCAGGAAUGAAGCAAAAUGUUAGAAGCUCAACCAAAUGAAUCAAGCAGAAGUGACUGACAGGGUUCACAAAACCUAAAUAAAUAACUGAAAUUUUUACCAUAUUCAUCUGUUCGAAGAACAAGCGCAAACCAAAUAUGUAUUCCGACAGAAUCCUCUUUUCAAGCCCUAACACAAAGUUUUAAUAACUGUGGCAUGAGAGCAUGCCACUGACAUGCUGGCACUGCACAUGUCAGCUCACAUGCCAUCAGCACAUCUGCUCAAAUGCUUGGCAUGUCAUAGCACAAGGAUUUUGGAGAUUUCUUCAAAAGAACAUAUAACCAUUAAAAACGCACUUGACGAGAUUGCUUGUUUUACCAAAAUACUAAAAUCCUCCUAAUUUAACCCUAUGCUCAUCAAACUCCGCCCACCAAAUGCUAAAUGAUGCUUCAAUAGAUUUGUCUUAUAUGUUAUUCACUACCCAUUAGUUUCAUGCAACUUUUACAAACUUAGUUUGAUUUGCUUAAGGUAACCGGUUAGGAUCUCACCUUAAAGGACUAGUCAGGAUCUAGUAUCUAGAUUCUUUUGUCCUACAUAGCAAGAUAUUCUUGACCACAUCCAAUUUUAGAUAUAAUAUGCUCCAAAUACAGGUCCUCACAAUCAACUAGGAAACAAAGUAUACUUUUUUUGAGUUAUAGGAGUAAACAAAUCCUCGAAAAAAAUGUAAUGGCAGCUUACACUCAAUAUAUUAAGCUAUUCACAAUCAACAAUACUAAAGAAAAGAAAGAGAAAAUUCCCAAUUAUAAGCUCAUAUGCAAAAGGAGAAAACUUCUCCACUUGAACUAAGACACAAGAAAUUUCCCAAUUUCGUCGUGAAGUAAUAAGUACUCUACCAAUCAACUAAUCAUAUUGAUUUCAGUUUAAUCGGAUAUUCCUCAACAUACCUUCCCUCGUAUACUUUCCCAUGAGCUCCCUCCCCAAUCUUCGACCCAAUAAAGAGCGACCUGGGGUUAAGAAGCAGCUUCUGAUCAAUCUCUAGUGGCUGCGGAGCGCGAAGAGCAUCCCCGCUCGUUCCAACGGAAUUAUCGGCGACUUUACUCAUCCCUACCCGUUUAAUCUCGUCCCCCUCUCUCCUCCCAUCCUUAGACUCCUCACCACAACUCAUACUACGGCGAGCUCGGCACGAGGAAGAAGCUACGCUCUCGGACUCCUCAAACUUACACAACAUACUAAACAACAACAAGAACGACAACGACGACAACACACCUUAUCUCACAUCGAUCGGCUCCGAAUCACAGCAAUCACAUCAAAAACCCUAAUUUGGGCCCCAUCCAACAAGGUUUCUCCGCUUAUAUAGGCGAUAAAGGGCUCAACACAAGGCGAAUUCGAAAGGAGAAGCGAUGCAUAGAUCGAACCAGAGAAUGUAAAGUCGGGGAAAAGCUCCGCCCAGUGAUUCAGCAGCUUCCACGUCUACUAGGAGCCCCUUUCAAGUGUCACUUCGAAGCAAAACCCUAAGCGUAACCCUAACCCUAACCCUAGAUUCUUCUUCUUCUUCUUCGUCGUCGUCGUCGUCGUCGUCGUCGUCUUCUUCUUCCUCUAUCUCUAUGGAGUUAGGAGAAGUAGUAGGGUUGUUAGAGAAGGUUUUCCGAUCAUCGGCUUAUUACUACGGCGGCGGUCGCACCCCUUUUUAUGCCGCAGAGGAUAAUAAAAAAUAAAAGAAAAGAAAAAUGAAAAAAAUAAAAAAAAAUUGGCAUUUUGCACGUGUGUCCCUCAGAAUAAUUGUAUUUCAUGUCCGCACCUUGGGAUUGAAGGUUACUAAUAAUUAAGUAUAUUAAUUAUUUUUUGACGGUAUAGUAAAAAAUAUAUUGUAAUGUGAUAUUAUGUAUACAAAUAAAUAAAAUAUUAUUUUGUAAUACCUUUUCAUCACGCAUAAUAGAAUUUUUCUGUAAUUCUAAAUGGAACCUUAAAAGUUUGAUGUCGUGUUUAAUAUGUGCAUCGCUUCUCAAUACCAUUCAAACAAAAAAAUAUGUUUGGUUUUACUUUAAAAAAUUAUUUAAAUUUUUUCUUGGUAGUAAAAUGAAAAGCUACCAAUUAAGCAACUUGCUUUAGAAGCUCAUAAUCUCAACUCUUAUCAAACAAAAGCUCUAAAUAUUUUAGUUUCUCAAAUACUCGUAAAAAAAUAAUUCUAACUAAAAAAAUAUAUAUGACCAAACUAGACUAACUCUUAUCGAACAUUAAAAUUAUACAAAAAUAAUUAUUAUCUUAUUUUUUUUACAGUAAUACUCUUAUUUUUUACAAAAUAACGAUUAUCUUUUUUUUUUUUUACAUCAAAAUUACUCUUUCUCUUUAUACCAAAGUACAUUAGAGUUUCCAUGCAACUCUAUUAUUUGGUAGAAGGUAUGAGAGCAAAUAUGUAAUUAAGAAAAUAAACAUGUAAAUAUAUCUGUAUAUUCCAAAAUUUUUAAUACAGGCGUGUGUACGUGCACUAUCAUGAAAAAAAAAUCUAGAAUAUAUUAGUUAUAUUACUAACAUGGUAUUUUAAACAAAUAAAAUUAUAUUUCUAAGAUUUUUUCGUUCCAUCAUAAUUAAUAAAAAAAAUUACAUAAUAUUUGUUUAAAAAAAUAUUAUUAAUUUAUUAAUAAUUAUGUUGUAUAAGCAUGACACUUCGCUGUACGAGAGUGUUGAAGCAUAUUCGUGUAUUCACGCGUGUGAAAAUUCGUAAAAAAGGUUUGGAGAACCAAUCAGGUACCGCCACGUCAGAUAGAGAGAGAGAGAGAGGGAGAGGGGGGGAGAAAACGACAAUUCCGGUUUCCUGCUCGUUUCCCGUCGCGUUUCCCCGCGCGAAGACCAUUUUGAGUCACGUGAUGAAUAGGGACUUAGAGGGUGACGGAUCAUCACGACCGUCGGAUCGUCUCGGACGGUCGGACCCUUUCUACGUACGGCGAUCCAAGAUAUUUUUUUUUUGUUCUGUGGGACCCACCAAGCUAACUGUAGUUUGACUUAAAGGGCUACGUGGGGGCGGCUACUGUAAUCUGGGUGGGGCCCAUCGAUUCGCUUUAAAUUUUGGGACAUUUUCAAAAGUCCCUCUUUGGUUCAAAAUAUUUAUAAUUUAGUACCACAUGGUUCAAAAUUUAAUUGUUUUUUUCUUAAUUUAUUUUAACAAUUUAUUGCUAAAAAUUUGAAAGAAUAACAAAAUACUGCACUCUAUAAUAAGUAAAUAUAGAGCUUUCCAGCUCUCUUAUAGCUACUUUUGUUUUUUUUCAAAGAACUAAAAUAAAAAUACAUAAAUAUAUAAUAAACUUCAAAUUAUAAAAAUGUAAAAUAUAAAUAUAUUAUACUGCAGGGUGCUUUUUUUAAUAAUUUUAGGGUGGUUUAGACAUUGUUUUCGAGCACUCUCGUUGGUUUAAUUAAAAAAUGGUCUCCACGCGGAAUCUCUCCGUGUUUUUAGCCACGCGGAUCAGCUGCGGCGCAAGUCUUCAUUAUAAUAAUAAUAAUAAUAAUAAUAAUAAAAUAAUAAUAAUGUACCCCCAAAAUAUCUCCUAUAAAAAAAACCGGACCGGGCCGGGAAUUUCUUGGAUUAAACAGACCCAACCCAUAAAUAUCUCGUUUGGGCCGCCCCGGUUCGGUUUAUUUGGGCUGUGGCGCGACUCACAAAAGCGAGGAAAAUUAUGGGCCGCCUCCUGGAAGAAAUUAAACCGGGCCGGUUACAUUGGGCUGGGCCUAGCCUAAAGUAGACCGAACCAAUUUGUUAUCUCACUUAACAUUGGACGGCUAGGAUUAGAUCCCGCUUCCACCACCCCACCAUAUAAAUAGUCGUCGUCGUGAUUCCUUCUUCCCGAUCCAAAACCCUAGAGGAGCGAAAUCAACGGGGACGCCGCUGCCGCUACUUCCUUCGUUGAGGCGAUCGAGACAUCCACGACAAUGGUAACGCCAAAACCCUAACCCUAGAUCCCUCUCUUCUUCUCAUGAUCUCCAUUAAUGGAAUCCCCCUCCACCCCCUUUCUCUCUCUAGACCUUCAAGCGCAGAAAUGGCGGGCGCAACAAGCACGGACGCGGCCACGUCAACUUCAUCCGCUGCUCCAAUUGCGGAAAAUGUUGCCCCAAGGUAUCAGUUUCUUAAUCACUGAAGAAUAAAACCCUAGAUCUACACCAAUGACCCGAAUUAGAUGCUCAAGCUCUAUUUAUUUUGCAAUUUUAUCUCUUUUGCUUUUGGGAUUCGAUUAAGGACAAGGCCAUUAAGAGGUUCAUCGUGAGGAAUAUCGUCGAGCAAGCCGCUGUGAGGGACGUGCAAGAGGCCUGCGUAUACGACGGUAUGUGUUUUACCUAUAUCUACUUAAGUUCUCAUGCGAAAAUACCUACUCUAGUACUAUCUUAUUUUUAGUUUCAAUUUGAUCCGCACAACUUGAUUUGAUUUAACAAAGUAUCCACUAAUUCACCGAAGUUAGGAUUUUCAUACCAAACUAAACUCUGGUUGUUUGCAUCAAACAAAAGCGAGUGAUAUUAGAUGUUUACUAAGGUUUAGCUUGUUUUUAUAUCAAUAUGAGCCAUACAGGUUGUUUGAUUCAAGUUAGGCUUUUUAGAUAAAGUCAAACCUCGUGGGCCGAAUUGAGCUUUUUGGAUCAAAUGGAAUACUAGAUAACUAGUAGGUUCUCUUUAACCAAAUUAAGCUUUAUGGGUAAGUUGAAAUGGAAAAUAAGUUAUUGGGCUUCUUGUGCAUUAGAUUAAAGUUUGUGAGUUGAAAUGCAAGCAUGAAAGAAUUAGUGGGUUUUUGUGAUCCUAACCCCUUUAUUGAAUGUGGACAUCUUUUUAAUUGUUCUAACCCUUCGAUCACCUGACUUCAAUUUGUUGACGUGGAAAAUUUUAUUGCUCCUUGUCUUUCCAGGUUACAUUCUUCCAAAGCUCUAUGCUAAGAUGCAGUACUGUGUCUCCUGUGCCAUCCAUUCUCAUGUCGUUAGGGUCAGAUCCCGAGAGGCAAGGAGGAACCGUGAACCUCCUCAACGUUUCAGGCGCAGGGUAAUUCCUCUAUACUUAUGAUUUAGAAUACUCUAUUGUUAGAAAAAUUUUGUUAUUCAUUAAUUGCUUUUAAGUAAAUAUGCAUUAAUGAUUGGUUUUCAAAGUGGUUUUAUCAGAAAUAGAAUUGUCGGAAUGUGAAUGAAAUUCCUUGUCUAAUGUUUUCUCUUUCAUUAUAAAAUUAGUUACUUGCACAGAAAUAAGUUUCUUUUAGUUGCAAAGAGUUUUGUUCUAUUUUAUGGUAAUCCUUGUUGGCUGUUAUUGUUACCUCUUUACUUGUGUAAUUCAUAGGGUUUUUUGGUUUAUCGCUUUUGCUAGGCGUUGCGUUCAUUGGGUCUUUUUCUGUAAUGGACGCGUCAACAAAAGCGUAAAUUAACAUUUCAAAAUGGCACAAUGCGGACUGUUUUUCUAUGACUAUUCAUUUUCCUAGUUGUUAUCACCCUGCUUGUGCUCAUUUCUAUAAUUUCUUCCAUCUAUCUAUUGCACAAAACAAAUGGGUUUUUGAUGCUCUUUAGUGAGUGAGAAGUUGAGCAUUUGCUUUAUUCCCUAGGUUAAGUGAAAAUUCACACAUGAUUUAUGAAUUUUACAAAUCUGUGGAGACUUUUUUGCUGCUUUUAUUCAAAUAGGUGAUUAAACGUCCCACGUCAGUCUUAUCUUUUGAAUCAUAUGUAAUGUUUUUUACACUUUUUUCUGGCCUGUUUGCAUGGGCAUCUAGUGUCUUUAAUAUUNGUGGGUCAACUACUCAGUAAGAAGAACCACAGCUUUGAGGACCAAAAUACCGAGGUUGGAUGCGCGUGAGAAGACCUACUCCUACUCAUCUUUUUUCGAUUCAUUCUAUUCCUUCAGACCCAGCAAUCUCCGAUAAAGACCCGAAAAGCUCCGCAUCCGCUAACAUUUUAAUAUUUUUUUUUUUUUUUUUCCUUUGAGACCGGAUGUCUGGCCCAUUGGCUGAUUCCCGGUACCUCUGGGAUUAACCGGUCUCGCAUAUGUGAUCUCCAUCCUCUUCACUUUGUCAGCUAAUGUAGUUCCAUUUUUAGCUGAUCAUUAAAGAUGGGACAUUUUUCAAAGGAAAAUAUUUGAAGGAAGUCCUUUCUUUUUGGUGAAGUAUAAUUCAAGCGAGGUCAAUCUCAUAACAUCUCUGUCGUUCACAGUUAUGUGAUCUCAACACAUCAUUGGCAAAAUAUUUUUUCUAAUUAAAACUUAUUUGGCAUAAUUGCAUAUUUAAUACAGCAGCGUCAAUUAUGUUCUUAAUUUAAAUUAUAAGAAUUAGAUCCUUGAGGUCUGCAAUAGAAUUGAGUCCUUCGGUUAGUAUACUAUAGAGUGGGCACCAUGUCAUUGCCGGAGGUUGCUGAGAUGGGAGGUUUUGAGGUAAUCAUUGAGAGCUGGUGAUGCUAACAUGUGAUCUCUUAGAUUGGUUGGUUAAUAAAAGGACUUUGUUGUUAUACAAAGCAAAUUUCUUGGUACAAAUUGCUCCAAGGACAUGGUGGCAACAGAAUAUUCCAUCAAGCAACAUAAUAUUCUGUUAGAUGAUAGAAUAUUCUGUCAAGUCUAAUAUACUACAAUAUUAGGCAUUACAGUCAAAAUUGUUGAAACUAAUGUUUCGAUUGUAAAAUACGUAAAGGCUCUGCAUUUUUAACUUAAUACUUUGCAUCCCAGGCUCAUAUAUAACAUCAAACUAUUGUAUUAUAUUUUGUAGGAUGAUCCAGGGAGGCCGGGGCAACCCCCACGUGCAGCUGGAGCUCCUACCGCCGCCCGCCCGUGAUGUUUCCUUGGUUCCAUGCUUGAUACCUGCUACAAGAUCAGUUGCUUUGUCUUUCAACUCCUUCCUGAAUCUUAAAAUUGUGUUUCGUGAGGGUCAAUUUUGUUUAGUGUUACAUGUGACAAAAAUUGAUUCUAUUCUAUUUCGUCAAAACCUGUUUUAUUGCGUUCAUGAUUCUUGAAGAUCUUGUUGGAUAUUUACUGGCUUUCUAAUAUGAUUUCGUCAUCCGUGUAGGAAUGGCUUGUAGAUUGCUGCGGGUGAAAUUUUGGUUAUGGAUGUUGAAACUAGUGAUCAUCUGUCCUUGUGUUUGAUGAUUCUUUGUUAGUUGUAUGAGAAGAUUGUAUUUUGAUCUCACUUGUGCUUUUAAAGAGAUCAAGCUUCGUGCGACGCAAGAAAUUUACCAUCAAGGUAUCUAGAGAAAAAAUAAAAAAUAAAAAUCACACUUAUCCACAAAUUAAAUAUUCGAGUAAUAAGAAGAUACUUAUACGGAGAGAGAUUGAAGUAUGAGACAUAACUAAUGCAUGAGAUGCAAUGUGAAAAGCAUCUCAAAUUGAAAGCAUCUGUUUAUUUUUAAUUCUGGCUUUGUUGAACUGUUCUUUAGAAACACAAUAUUUAUACAACAACGUGUACGUCAGUAUGUGCAAUUCAACACCAACAGGGAAAUUAAUUAAGCAUGGAUUAAUUGUUAUUAAUUGUCGUGCUGAUCCAAAACCAUUUGUUCUAUUUCUAUUCAACCCCCAGGAAUCUUUCAAACCUGCACCAUAAACGUACAAAAAUAUAUAUUAUGUAUAUUCAUCAUAAGGCCAUGUUAGCUUAGCUAAUAUCUCCAAAGACGAAGACAAAAUAUGUAGGCCCUUCGAUUGAUAAGUAAUUAUUAAACUAAAUUUCUCUAUAUAUGCUGGCACCGAGAGUUGAGUUGGUGCAUGCCCUUCAUUGCUUUAAUCUCUCAACACCUUCACAUUGCUAUUUCCUGUUGCCUUCUUUCUUUCUCCGCCCUUCGGUAUGUAUACAAUGAUUUAUUUUUCCUCGAAACAACUUAAAUUAUUUUGAGAUUAUCUUUUUCUGUUUAGGGAUAGGGAAUUCAAUUAAUUAAGUGCAUUUAAUUGCAUGCGCGCAUAAGCUAGCAUAUUAUCGUUUAAUUUGUUUGCCAUACAUAAAUAUGCUUUACUCUUGAGUUUAAUGGGAACUUGCAUACAUACGUAUGUAUACCAACGAAUGAAUAGUACAUGCAUGCAUGGCAUGUUCCUUUUCUCAAAUGUCAAGUAAUUAAAUGCGUAUAAGGGUGAACCAAAAAAAUCUUCGGUUUAUGAGCAAUUUGUUCAUAGAAAAUAGAAGAUUCAGAGAUUAAGGAUUUGAUGCACUUUGAUUACCUAUAUGUACCCGGUUGAUUGCUACUGUUUCCUCUAUUUGUCACCUUCUAACUUUUUUGUCAUUAAAUCAAGUAUCUAAUUUUUAUGUUUUAUCGCUUUCAUAUAUUCUUCAAAACAUCAGAGAAUAGUGGAAUAAAGAAUGUUGGUAGCCUCGACCCGCAAAUUAUUCAGUCUAUUUUGUGAUGGACAGUGUUUAUUAGAAAUUUACAUGUGAGUAGUUUCGCAUCACAUAACUAAUUUAUUAAAGAGUAAAUGAUUGAUAUAUCGUAAUGGAUCUUGACCUAAUAAGUUUUAAGCAUUUAAGGCUAGAUGAGUUACAGUAAAUAUGCCAUAUUCUUUUUCUUUUUCUUUUUCUUUUUUUUUUGAGAGAUAGGUAGCACGCUACCCGCUUCGUUUAUUUCAUUUAGAAAUAAACUUAGCUGUAAAUAUGAAUCAACUUAACUUGGGUUUCGGGUACCAAUCACUAAAUCCUUUGCCACUUGCUCUAGGGACAGUGCCAUAUUCUUGGAUCUAUAUUCUUGGAUCCAUGUGGACUUAGGAUGAAUUGCGACUCUCCUAAUAAGCAGUAUCAGAGGCGAUAGUUUGGCAAUUUUAGAUUACUCGCUUAUAUGGUAUGGUUGAAUCGAGUUACUAGCUCACAUGAACAUGAUGGACUAAUGGAAGGAAGUCAAUUUAUAUAAUGCGAUAUGAUGGCUUAACGCAAUCAAAAUAGUUGGGUCAACAAAUUAAGCAUGUGUUAGGCAUAUAAACUCACGAGAGGGGCGUAGGUUCGAUACAUCGGCUUGGACGAUGAUCAGUGGAUUCGCAUUAGGUUUAGUGCAAUGUUUGAGGAGAUUGUUAAAAAUUUAUACAUAAUCAGUCUCGCCCCAAAUAACUAAUAUAAAACGUAAAUAAUCAAUAUAUACAUACUAAUGAACUGAAAGCUAAUUAUACACCAAAAUUUUUUGGUUUAAUGUGUUCUGCUAAAUUUAUCACAAUCUUAGAUCUACGAGACUUUGAUAAGUAUCGCACAAAGGUGCUGGCAAUUGCAUGGUGGCGACGGCAAUCAAUUGAUCAUCUUAAUUAUGAGCGUAAUGCAUUGUCAUAAAAAUUUAUAAUCAUAUCGACCUACCAAUAAACUAAAAAUCAAACUGUUGCAGUCACAAAAGAUUUAUAAUCUCUAUGCUAGGCAAAUUAUAGGCAGCUAGUUUAAAUUCUUAAGAAAAUGCUAUUCUUACAAACCACUUCUACAAUAAAUUUCUAAUUUAAAAUUUAGUAGUUACGUUUUUAUUCUUUGUCUUACGAACUACAACAAUCACCUCAUGAAUGAUACCAUUUUGCCAAUUAAAAAUGGGUUGGUAAGGAAAUAUAUUAAAAAUUAUAAAAUUUAUCUGUAAGUAUAGCGUUACUUAAAUUCUUAGGAGCUGCAUAUAUGGGCUGAAGAGUGCUACAAUCAUAUUCACAGUUGCAGAGCACGUCGAGUGCAAUUUCGAAGUCCACGAAACCACGGCCCAUAAAAGACAAACAAGGUGGCCCAUUGAUGGGAGAAGAUUAGGUUGAGCUUAUGGGUCGGGCUUCUCCCACACAACCCAAAUUAAUGGGCCUAAUAUAUGUUUCUACUGGGUUGGAUCGACCACGUACAUCCGAACCCGAAAUUUAUUUAUAUAAUAAGCCCAGGCGUACGUGCUCUCGUUUUCACCAUGCAUGCAAUUAGCUUAAAGAGAAAUAAUAAUGCAUGCCCUAGCUAGCUAGGGGUUGCGUUGAUCAAGUAGAUCAACCUACCUGUGGAAGGUGCCUGAGGGGCCGGUGAGGGAUUCUCUCUCCCUCUCUCUCUCUCUCUUCCCCUCCCUAAAGGGUGAUAGAGACUCUCUCUCUCUCUCUCUCUCUCUCUCUCUCUCUCUCUCUCUGUGAGACACACACACGCUCUUCUCUAUAGAGAGAGAGAGAGAGAUCUCACAACACCCGCUUCUCUCUCUCUCUCAUACGCAAACACUUCUCUAGAGAGAGAGAGAGAGAGAGAGAGAGAGAGAGAGAGAGGUCACACAUGACACACCCACCCACCCACCUCUCUCUCUACCUCACACACACAUCUCUCUAUUGAGAGGAGAGAGAUCUCAAACAUACCCGCCUCUCUCUCUCUCUCUCUCUCUCUCUCUCUCUCUCUCUCUCAUAGGCACACACUUCUUUAGAGAGAGAGAGAGAGGGUCACACACACCCCCACCCACCUCUCUCUCUACCUGACACACACUUCUCUCUAUGGAGAAGAGAGAGAACUCUCACAUACCCGGUUCUCUCUCUCUCUCAUACGCAAACACUUCUCUAGAGAGAGAGAGAGAGGGUCACACACACCCCCACCCACCUCUCUCUCUACCUGACACACACUUCUCUCUAUGGAGAAGAGAGAGAACUCUCACAUACCCGGUUCUCUCUCUCUCUCCCUCCCCCCCAUACACACACACUUCUGUAGAGAAAGAGAGGCUCACACACGCACCCACCCACCUCUCUCUCUACCUGACACACACUUCUCUCUAUGGAGAAGAGAGAGAACUCUCACAUACCCGGUUCUCUCUCUCUCUCCCUCCCCCCCAUACACACACACUUCUGUAGAGAAAGAGAGGCUCACACACGCACCCACCCACCUCUCUCUCCCUCACACACACGCACACACACUCUUCUCUAGACAGAUAUCGAGAGAGAGAGAGAGGGAGAGAGAGAGAGGUGGGUGUGAGAUCUCUCUCUCUCUCUCUCUCUCUCUCUCUCUCUCUCUCUCUCUCUCUCUCUCUCUCUCUCUCUCUCUCUCUCUCUCUCUCUCUCUCUCUCUCUCUCUCUCUCUCUCUCUCUCUCUCUCUCUCUCUCUCUCUCUCUCUCUCUCUCUCAUACACACACACACUUCUCUAGACAGAUAUCGAGAGAGAGAGAGAGAGAGAGAGAGAUCUCACACACAUACCCCCACCUCUCUCUCUCUCCCUCACACACACACACACACACACAUUCUCUCUCUCGGAGAUUAAGUUGGUUGAUUUCUAAAUAGACACAAAAUUGACUCAUGCCCUAUCCUUUAUUCAAAAGAGAAGAACACUGCUACGCUUAAUUAUCUCAAGUUCCUUUAGAUAUGGAAACGGCAUAAUCAGUUAAUUAGCUAGUGCUUUUUUGGUAAACUUUUUAAAUAUUAAUUAGUCUUAUUCAACCACCGCGGUUUCUUACCUCAUCGAUAUAAUUGAGGGAAAGCCUUCUAGGGCACGCACAAUCUAAAAAUGUUACUUAUUCUCAAUUAAUCAUUAAUUAAUUAGAAGCUACUUUGUCAACACAAAUGCAUUGUCAUCAAACACAAAUAAUAAGAAAGCAAAGGACAAGUACUGUAAUCAAUAUUCAGUAAUAUUAAUUACUGCAAAAGACAAUGUAGUCAAGUUACAGAAUCCUGCAAACGACUUAGAAAUUACCACAUUUAUUUUUUCACCUAUAAAUUUGUAUAGAGCCCCACCACAAACAGGAUUACAAGACACUAACUAUACAACAACAAAGCCAAUGUCCUCCUAAAACCUUUCGGAAAACAAAGCCAGUAUUGAUCGAUCGCCUAUUAUAUGUGGAGACAGAUAAAAUAGACCAAAACAACAUUAACGAUGACAACAACAACAACAUAUCUAGCAAUCUUUCAGAAAAACUCUCUCUGAGAUCCCCCGUAGACAACAUUUUGGAAGUAAAUAAUCACAGUAAUUAUGUGUAGCUCGAAACCGAGAUUAUCACUUCCAUUCAUUUGGUUAUGUAUGAUGGAAGUGAUAAAUUGAAGUUUUGAUAGAAGUCCACUUCUAUCUGAAAAUUCAAUUUUUAUGUUAUGUCGACUUACCCCCAACGAAACGUUCCCUUGGCUAAGAUAGCACGAUGAAGAGCAUCACCGCCCCGGCCAGGAUCAUAACUAGCUGCAGCAACAAACUAACAGAGUAAAAUAUUUCAACGAUCGAAGCCCACAUUUCACCGUGCGGCGGUUCAAACAUGAGGCCUAUCCAGAUCAGGCCGGAUUCGAUGGCCAAUAGCUGGAAGAAUGCGCACACCUUUAGCCCUAAACUCAUGUAAUAUUGCUGUGGUGCAAUCCCCACACUCUCCACGCAUAUGAAUGCUAGUAGGCCACCAUUGACUGAGAUCAGCAUUGCAAUGCCGUUCCUCAUCACACCCGCAUAGCGUGGGUCAUGGUAUAAGGGUCGAGCACUAGUUGGAUUUCUCAGGCCGAUACCCAGAUACUCCUGGAUGAAGUAUACGAAGAUAGGGAUGAGCGCCAGCGAGAACACGCCCACGACUAAGGUUUCCAAGAACUGCAUGGCGAGCGCAGCGGCUGAUAGCCCGAGGAGGACCAAAAUAGCAGUGCUGCUGUAUCUCACAAAGCUUGAAAGGCUCCCUCUCCAAAAGGAGUAAUGAGCAGUUAAGGGGAUGGAGGUAACCAUCAUAACAAAGAUGCCAACCAUGGUGAUCAGGAAGAAGAGACUCAGCGCAAGUUGGAAACUUUGCAAUGCUUGGAGGGGAGGGCUUUUGAAGGAAGCAUAAAUCAUACCCGUUUGUACUGUGAUGGCCAUAGUUGCCAUAGCAGUAGCGAACUUGAAGGCCUUCUUUUGCUCCGGUUUGUAGCUGUUGAUCGAAGAUGCACAACAUGCAUGUUAAUUGAAAAUGUUGUUAAGCCUAGGCUUUUAGAGGCAGCUCCCAUCACCCCUCAAAAAUGAUAUAAAUAUUAGAUUAGCUGAUUCCGUUAUCUAUUAGUAAGUUUACCGAUGAAAAAAUGACCUAAGCUCAUGUAUAUAUGUUUCAAAUUAAAGAGAAAAUUACAGCUUACUUUUUACAUGAACAUGUAGUUCUUCAACUUUUCAAAGCAAAACUUAUUUCCAGCAUUCGAUACUUUUUUAACAAAUAGAAUUAGAGAAACAUGUUAAUGCCAAGUUUUUUUGUCAAAAAAAACACUAAAUUUAGUACCCGAGUCUUCUCUCUGAAUAAACUUGACACGCAAUAACAGCACAAGCUAAUAUAUAAUUUGAUACAUUUAUAAGAAGUUCAUGAGAUGCUAAUUCAGUUCACCUGAGAAGAUCAUUAAGCUAAUAGUACUAUCGAAAUGUAUAAAAACACAUAAUAUAUAUACCUUUCAUGGUUGGCACUGUCGUGGUCGUUAACAUUUUGUGUAGCCCUAUAUCCAAGGAAGCAUAUGAUAGCUAUCACAGGAAUUACAAUAAGACUCAUCCCUGCACUGUCCUUGCUCAGGAGUACUAUGGAGAAAAAGCUUGUCACAAUUAAAAGUACACAAGAUGUGGUAAUCCCGCCUAUGAGAUAUAUCUUCUGGUUUCGGUUGAUUCGAUUAUAAUGCCCAAAGAGAAAAAAUGCGUACAGCAACAACAAGAUGGGGGAUUGAAGAGUGGCCCAGAUGAGGAAAUUGUAGGCUUUGAUAACUGUGGAGGAAUGCAUGGCUCUUAUAUCUUUGGUUCCGUUCAAAAAUGCUAAGAGUAUUACAAAAGCCAUGGUUAUUUUCACACCCGAGAAAGCUAUGAUUCGCUUCAACUGGUCCCUAACUACUUUAAUUUUCUGUUCAUUUUCUCCUUCAUUGUCUUCUCCCUGUUGGUUUAUCUGCAGUUACGUCAAACAAGUAGUAAGUGUUUUGUAUAUACAUACAUAUAUAUGUAUGAUUAAUUGAUAUGCAAAUUAGAGGCCACUGGAAAUUAGCAAACAUAUUUAGAAGAUAGAGAUUGAAAGAGAGCUUCAUUAUAUAUUUAUAGAUUAGGCACCAUGAGAUAAUUCAUUAACCAAAAAAUUUACUAUUGGUAGGCUUAAAAGUUUUAUCACGAAAAUAAAGAUGAUGAUUUGAGAAAUAUAAAACUUAUAGAUGCAUCACAGGCUUAUUUUUACUACAAGACUCAAAGAUCAUCAUAUCACAAGCUUGUAAACCCACAUCCAUAUGGCUGUAAUUGAGAUGAAAAAUAAACAUUAACCCACCAGUGUAGUUAGCUUAGUUUUUGAUUGGUCUUGUCUCAUGAAAAAAGUUUUGGAUAUACUUAGCCACUAUGGCAGGGUAUAUAGUUUUAAGUAAUACCGCCAAAUGGUACCAUAAUAACCCAUACGAAUGGUGAAUUACGAAUUCAUAAUUAAUAUUAUUUGAACCUGCAGUGAUGAUGCUUAGGAAACAGUAAAUCUUAUCCUGAUAUAUUAAACAGGCCACAUAAUUUGGAAAAUCUUUUGGUCAAAAUCCAUUGGAUCUGAUUAUGGUGAAUUCGGUAUCGGAUGUGGCCAUAAGAGAGAACGAGAAAUUAAUCAGAUGAAAUACUAAAGAAAAGAGAAGAAGCACGUGUGAUGUGAGCUCGAGAAGAUCUUUAGUGAAGGGUUUAAUAAGCUAAAAACAAUACACAUAAGAGAGAGAGAGAGAGAGAGAGAGAGAGAGAGAGAGAGAGAGAGAUGCGCACGAAGAUAUAUAGCGACCUAAAACCCUACCUUUUCAAAAAAAAAAAAGAAAAAAAGAUAACAUAACUUGAUUUUGGAAAGAUUUUUUUUUCCAUUCUUUUGAUUGUAUUAACCUCAUAAAAGAAAAUGAUAAACAACUCAUGGAUGUGGAGCUGUUAUAAAUUCAUGUUUGGAAAGAAGAAAAGAAAAGAAAUAGCUGAUAAAAGAGAAAUAUCAGAUCUACAAUCAAACAAAGAAGCAGCAAGUGAGAGAUAAAGAGAGAGAGAGAGAGAGAGAUGCGCCACAAAAUAUAUAUAGCCAAUUAAAAUAAACCCUUUUGAAAAAAUUGAAAAAAACACCUAUAUUGCAGAUUUAUAUAUCAUCUGUGACCAUAACUUGAUUUUGGAAUGAUUUUUUUCUCUUUUUCUUUUGAGUGCAUAAACCUCACAAAAGAAAACAAAGAACAAUCAUCUGAUUUGGAGCUUUUAUAAGUUCAAAAAGAAAAAACCCCUAAAAACUUGCAAGCAAACAAAUAGCUGAUAAAAGGGAAAUAUGAUGAAACUUUUGAUGAAAUGAAAGAAAUCAUCUGAUGUGGAGCUUUUAUAAGUUCAAAAAAAAAAAAAAAAAAACCCCUAAAAACCUGCAAGCAAACAAAUUGCUGAUAAAAGAGAAAUAUGAUGAAACUUUUGAUGAAAUGAAACAAAUCAUCUGAUGUGGAGCUUUUAUAAGUUCAAAAAAAAAAAAAAACCCUAAAAACCUGCAAGCAAACAAAUAGUUGAUAAAAGAGAAAUAUGAUGAAACUUUUGAUGAAAUGAAACAAAUCAUCUGAUGUACGCUUUUAUAAGUUCAAAAAAGAAAAAAAAACUCCUAAAAACCUGGAAGCAAACAAAUAGCUGAUAAAAGAGAAAUAUGAUGAAACUUUUGAUGAAAUGAAACAGCAGCUGCAGGAGCAGAAGAACAAGACC